rnacentral:lncRNA from 1 species
UACUAGUAUUAUCGAAGGAAACCAUGUUUCUUACGGAAGUAGCAGAACCGGCUUUUCAUGAAAUAUAAUCUCAUACAUCGAAUUGAGUAGGUAGAUCUCCUUUGUUCUGACUUCUCCCGGGAGUAAUGUUGGAGCUUCUAUGGUGGCUCCAAUUAAUAAAUGAGUACGAACUAGAGUACAAGACUUCCCCGGCAGUUUGUGUAGGCACAGUCCUCAGUUACAACACAAAGGCCCAACAAAUUGCCCACGACUCGAUGGAGAGAUCUGACAACUAAGGAUUAAUCAGGACCAAAUCAUGUCUCUUAUUCCAAACCUUGUACUAGUUUAUUCGAACUUAUGCAUGUUUGGUCAUACAAUUUCCUCGCCGAAAGCAUGGCGGAGGAACAUCGACAUGCAAAAAGUAAAGCUAGGGCUCCUCUUGGAAAGAUGUGGUGCAGUGGAGGAGCCCCGCAUUGAGGCGAGCGUUCUCCCGAUUGAGCUCCUGCUGGUCGAUGCAGUCCUUGGCGACGCCGACGCAGUUGGGGCAGGUAGCGGAGUUCUUGAGCGCCUCCCGCACGGCCAUGAUCUCGGACCGGAGACUCAUGUUCUCCCAGCGGAGGAAGCGAUUCUCCAGCCGCUCGUGCUCAAUCUGCCAUGCCAUCAUACAGAUUCCAGCCCGUUAAUUGCAUCACCGAUCGAGGACACGAUCGAAAAUAUGGAAAAAUGGAAAACUAUGGAGCAAAUCAGAGAUCCAGUGCAUAACCCAUACCCUGAUCUGUGUGCGGUGGUUCUGGAACCAGGAUCUGACCUGCUUGGUCUCCAGACCAAGCUCGCGUCCAAGCUGAGCGCACUCGAUCUCACUGGGGUGAUCGGACUUCUUGUACGACCUGAGCGCGCACACCACACAUACAUAAUUGAUUAGUUUCUGCCAAUCACUAUAGUGUCUAGUACGCAGUAGUAUGAAGAUGCAUAGAACAUCAAAUCACGGGAAAUGGACAAAAAAUAAGAUAUUAAGAGAUUAGAACCUACUCCUCCAACUUCUGGACCUGCUCCGGUGUGUGGCGGCGUUGGCGCUUCCGGCGCUCCUGCAGCUGCUGCUGGCUGUCGGAGCCCCCCUGCUGGUGGUCGCCGAAGUCCAUGGCUCUCGCUCGCUCUCUCUCGGAGGCUGGCUAUAGAAGGAGAGGAUGGAAGGGGAGCGAUGGCUUUUUGCUCUGAUGUGUGAUCCCUCCCGGCCGGUGCUCUCCUAUUUAUACAGAAGCCUUGGUAACGCCAACAUUGUGCUGCUCACUGCCAACCCAUGGUAUCGUCGUUUCCUUCUUUGGCUCCAUCUACUAACCACCCCCGCUCCUUGGCUUCUUUCGUCCAUCUUGCUCGAGAAGCCCCGCUCCUUGGCUUCUUUCGUCCAUCUUGCUCGAGAGCCCCCGCUUCUUGUGUUGCGUUUGCAUCUCCUCCUCUCUUUUGGUGAGUGCACAUAUAUUAGAAUGACUUAAUUCCGUCUUUUUUACCUACUAAUUAAUCUUUUGCCAGAAUUACCAUUGUUUGAGAGCUGCAAAACUUUAGAGAGUAGCUAGAGUACUUCCUGGAAAAUAUCACGCAGUCCUAUUCUGAAGGUGACGGAGAAAAGCAAUUCUCCCUUGCACCGGAGGUCCCGUGCAUGAGAGAGCCCUUGAUUUUGCUUAGAGAUUAGAUGCCAGACACAUUGAUUGAGCUUGUACUUUCUUAGAUAUUUUUCUGACCGCAUGCAAGCACAUUGUACCAGCUAUUUUCCACCAUCCCAUACUUUUUCAUUUUAUUUCCAAGGUUAAAUCUAUUUCAUUUUUAAACCAAAAAUAUAACUUAUGACAUGUUUGCAUUUUUGUGUUUAUGAUGAUGAGAACUUCAAAACGAGACCACUUUUGAAUUACUUCAAUAAGUUUUAAAAUGGUGAUUCCCAGUGGAACAUAGUGAGCCAUAAUAAAAAAUAAAGUAUUUUUGCGAAAUAGAAUAAACAUUAUUGAAUAUUUCACAUGGAAUUAAUAAAUUUGUAUGAAACAAGUUUGACGCAUGGUGAUUUAGUUGUCUAAAAAUUUAAUUUCUAAAAAUAUAUUCAACAUUAGUCUUGUUUUAAAGAUCUCGGCAGUAAAAACACAAUUGUGCAAACAGAAUGUAAAUCAAAAUUUUAUUUCAUUAUAUACAUUAGAACAAUUUAUUUGAAUGUAACUUAGUGAGUAGAGAAUACCAUGUAGAUGUAUGUAGGUGGUCCCAUUCCACAUAGAAAAAAAAAGCGGUGGAUGCAUGCACGGGAGUAGAAAAUCCACUCUCAAAGGUGACGUGCUUAUUUGUUUGAGAGAUGACCCAUUCCAUGCUGCAAGCAGGCUCGCUUGCUUUUUUUUCAUGUAAAUUUGGGAGCCGAUUACCACAGAGCCGAUGUGCUACAUGCUUGGUGCAAUGGGAGGCUGCGCGCGCCGGUGCUCAACUUACACUCUUUGGGACGCCAGCAUGGGCCUCAAAGAGUUGGACCCUGUAUUUUCUUUUCCCCCCUAUAAAUGAAAUGAUCCGCGGCAUUGCGUAUUUGCAGAAAACAAUAUGUUGUUAUUCUCUUUAUAUAUAUUUCCUUUCAUGCUUAGUUGAUUUGUAAUACAUUAGGAAAUUGCUUUUUGUGACCGAGCUCAUUUGCUCUCAUGAACAGUGAAUUCCAACUAAAGUAGCUAGCAAAGAACUUAAAAAAUCAGAGAUGCUCGAGUAUUUCAUGGAGAAAUGACAUCCGGGAUGCUCUAGACAAACAAACAAAAUCGACUGUCAAAAAGCUUUAAAAUGUUUAAAAUUAGUCAAUACUUCCAGUAAAUUUAUAAUAGCAAGUUUAAACUAUUAGUUUAUACUUAUUGCUAGAGCAAAUUAAUUUUGAUCGUGGUGUGAUUUAUAAUAUAGAAUAAUCUAAUCCACUUGAUGAUUACAGUUUAAAAGAUCCGCGCUAAAAUCAAUUAUAGCAUAUAAAUGUUUACAAGGGAUCGUUAUGCUCCCUUUGCACCUCUCUGUGUACUCCUCCAUUCAUGCAGGAUGACUGUUUCUUGUAAAGUAUAUGUAAGAUUUUACGUACCAUGCUUAGUCUAUGUUAAUACUUGAUUUAUGUGAGUUAUAUUGUGUGCUUCGCAUUAUAUGGGGUGGCAUAUAUUUUUAUUCUAUUUAUGUGAAUAAUGUUUCACAAGCUAAUGUAUUGUGUGCACUCUAUAAAUUUUGUUCACUGUAAAUAACUUUAGAAUUACUAGUUGUGGGGAUUGUUGUGAAGUAGGUAUAGUUGUAGAUUAGUAAACAAGAAAAGCAUAUAUGCAUUCUAGCAACAACAUAUUCUAUAAUUAUGGUGGUGUUACGAAAAAUCUUUCACGUGUAUACUGGGCAUAUCGCUUACAUACAAGUUGACAUUCGUACAUGUGUGAAAAUGUUCUUCAUGUAAACUACAGAAGUGGGUUCUUUAUAUGUUGUUUCCAAAAUUACAUGCUGGAAUAAAACAUAUAUCAUAAAGCUAAAAAACAUAUAUCCUAUGCGUGCACGGUUGUAUGAGGCAUCAUGUCAACAUGUUAUCUGUGUUCAUUUCCAAUGGAUGCUUAAUAGUACACAUUGUUUCUAUAUUUAUUUUUGUUGUUAUGGUUGUUAGACAUGAUUUUAUUCAGGUUUGUUAUGGUAUUUGACCAUACAAUUUGUACAAACUAUAUUGUGUUAAGUAUAAUUCAAAUAAAAUCUGAAGUUUUGCAAGAAGCCUGUCAGCAUUCAGAUUUAAUAUGUUCUAAAGUUUUAUCUAGUAGAGUUUGCAAAGCACUUCAUAUCAACUUCAUUAGAGUUUGAGAUCAAACAAACUAAACAUCAGGUAGCAUAAUCAAAGCAGGCCUUAUUAUAAAAUGAGUUUGGAGAACAAUCAUACUCUUUACCAACACAAAUGCAUGUUUAGUUUUGACUGUUUAAUGUGUUUAAAAGUUGCUAAGCUUGUAAAAUAUAUGGAAGCCAUGCAUCCGUGUAUACUACAUGCUCGACAAAAAGUAGUCGUGCUUUUUAUGGUUACAUUCUUUGCUGACAACUAUACAACAAUAAUUUUUGCAUGUGAAAACCGUAAUGGCAUUUAGUGCAUUCAUGGACCGCAAUGAUAAUGGAUAACUAAUCCUACAUUAACUGUGGCGGCUUUUAUUCCCUAACUAAAGAUCCAUCCUGCGAUAAAUUUGUGACUUUAAUGUGCCAAGUAACAUGAUCAUAUGGGCACGAGCACACAGACAAACAUCUACAUGGUAAUUCGUUUUUGGUCAACACAAUCUGCAGAAUCUUGGACACUAGUUAACAUUUAUGAGCCUUGUCAUGGAGAACAAAGAGUGAAUUAUACCAACUGGAUUUUUGGAUUAAGCAUCCCCCAUGAUAAAGAAUGGCUUCUAGUAGGAGAUUACAAUAUCAUUCGCAUCCCAGAAAUUGCAACAAACCAGGGCGCAUUAUUCUGAUAUGAUAACUUUCAAAGAAUUUAUGCGCACACAAAGCCUGGUUUAAUUUCCCAUCAAAGGUAGAGCCUACACGUGGAGCCAUAUGCAGAUUGACAAUGUUUCUGAGGAAAAAAUAAUGUUCACGAUUUCAUAAAAAUGUUUGUAAAUUUAGAAAGAAAAUGGUCAAGAUUAAAAAAAAACUAUCCUUGAUAUCAGAAAAAAAUUACGAAUUUGAAAAUAUGUUCACAAAAGGAAAAGGAAAAGAGAGACACAUCUGCCAUUAUUUCUAAUAAUUUACAGCCCAUUUGCUAAUUAUUAAGGAUUUUUGGAGCCCAUAUUUUUUUUGUUAGCAUUACAGCCCAUAUUGUGGCCACGGUUAAAAAAUUAUAUGAAAUUUUGCAUAUUUCGGUGCGGUUCGAACUGUUUUUAAUCCCAAAAUUUCGACUCACAUUCAAACUGAUUUUAAAAAUAAAUGUAUAUCAAUAUAAGAUCCAACAAAUUCUCCAUGCAUAAAAAUUAAUGUAAUUUCAAAUCUCGAAAUGAAAAAAAGAUAUUUGAAACUAAUUGCCGGUUUGAUGUGUUUUAAAAAUUUACAACUCAUUUCUCAUUACUGAUGGGCCAUUUUCUCGGCCAGCCAAAUGAAAGUUCUCCUCGUCUUGAAAGAUUUGAAGUCCAACAGGCCUGACAAAUCGACUUACUUGGCAAAUCACAAAAAACCUGGGUUGUGGCCGUGGACCCAGCUGUGAGCCUCUCCAUGUACAAUACUCUUCCGAUGGAAUGUCGUUGACCACGUUGACCAUGCCGCGCCGAGAGCACCAAGGCGGUGGACGACGGCGAGGCCUAGGAAGGGGACGGCACGGAGCCAGGAAAGACGCGGUAGUGGAUGCCCACACGGAGAGGAGUACGAGGGUUCACUGGUUCGGCUACAGUGUGAGGCUGUCGUCGCCGCAGGGCACGGCUAGCGGUGGGAGUAGUAGGGGGCGAUGAGGCCUCAUCGGCAACACAGCCGGCCACUGGAGGCAGGAGCAGGCGGUCUUCCCGGCACUGGUUUGGGCGGCUGGUGCAAGAAGAGCAGCGAUUGAAGAAGCAGUAGGACCGUUCGAUUCAAAUCCAACGGUUACUGCUGCUAGAAUCGUUUGUUGACUAAGUUGACAAGUCCUGCGUACGUGUCAACUUAAUAGGCCCACAGGUCAGUCUCCCAACCGGGGCGCCCCAGAUGUCAGUGGGAGGAAUCAUUUUUUUGCGUAAUAAGGAGGCAGUUGAUUGCGUGCGGCCAGGCCAGCGGAGGGAGUAGGGUGGGCCGGGGAAGCCUGCGCGGCAUCACAGCGGGCCACAAGAGGAGGGAGCAGGGAGUCCCGCCGGUGCUAGUUUAGGCGGCUAGAGCAGGAAGAUCAGAGAUUGAAGAAGCACGUCGGCCGUUGGAUGGACAUCCAACACUAACUGCUGCUAGAAUCAUGUGUUCACUGACAAAGCCUUGCGUAAACAAGCCAGCCUCGAAAUCUGUGGCGUGUACAUCCCAUUUGCUAUUAUUUUUAUAAUUUUUACUCAUUUUCUAAUUCAUAUGGAAUUUAUUGCAGCCCGUUUUCCAUUUUUAGAAUUGCUGGCCAUUUUCUGGUCAGUACCAGGGUCAAAAAAUUAACUAAAUAUGUGGGAAAUUUUGAAAAUUCGCAAAUUUUUGCUGGGGACGAAAUAUUGUUAAUCCAAAAAUUAAUAGCCAUACUAAAAAAAUUAAAAAUAAAUUAGUACUAUGUCAUGUUAAAUCCAAUGAAAUACGUAUAAGAUAUCAGUGAAGAACAAAAACAAAAACAGAAACUUAUAUCCCAUUUGCUAUAAAUUUUUUGGAAUUGUUAACCCCUUUUGAUAUUACUUUUAACACACAUUGACCAUACUCUUAAGCCAGGCCGGAAUGCAUCCCUCCUCAUCUUGAAAGAUUUGCAGCUCAGUAAUUCGGAGAAAACAAAUAGGCCUAGCUUGGGUAUUCUUCAAAAAGAAAUACUGGGCUACCUAUUUUCCCAAAGAACUAGUGCAUGAGCAUUUAGCUUUAUUUAUUUACUUAUUUAUGAUUAGGGACCAUGAGCAUGUACCUGGGUCGGAUUCAUGUGAGAGCCUCCCUUCCAGUUAAUUAUGGGCUUCUCUAUUGGGCCUUCAUCAGUGGGCUGCAUGUUAUCAACAAGUGGAAAAUGUGUUCCGAGUUUCAAAAAAAAUGUGUUCCGUAUGAUAAAUAGUAUGCGCUACGUACGGUACGGGGCACUAAAGGAUCAAACCGUGCAACGAGUUCCAAAACAUUGUGUUUGUCGUUCUAACAACACAUUUAUUCAACCAACAGACUAAAUAUACUACUGAUUGUACAUUGAAAACAGCAGCAGCAACAACCAGGGCUGGGGGUGCAACAGAAGCAGUAAGCAGGCCAGAAGAGUGAAGACGCAACUCUCUCUUCCAAACCAAACAUCAGCCAUCAUUACAAAAUGGCUACCAAAAAAGAACAAGUGUAUGCAUCAAACUAAAUAAAGAUCCUACUACACCAAGUGUACGCAUCUAACUAACUGGCUCAGUUAGACGUUACUAUUUUUUUCGAAACGGGGGCAAAAGAAUUGCCUCGUCGAUUAAUUAAGAAGAAGAGAAUUGCCUGGUUAAUCUACGAAAAACCAGGCUAAAACCAAAGACGUUACUAUUUAUUAAGCUAUAGUGGAGUCACAGAUGGAGAGGAGUGGGAAACUUCACUGGUUCGGGUGCGCGGUAGCACAGCCGCGGUGCCGCUGACGGGAGACAGGAGCAAGAACAGAGGUUGAAGAAGGAGCACGGCUGUUGGAUUAACAUCCAACGGUCCAGCUGCUAGAAUUAUUUGUUGAUUAAGUUGACAAAGCCGUGCGUACACGUCCGCUUAGUAGGCCCACAAGUCAGUCACCAAAUCUGACGGGUCCCAGCUGUCAACGGGAUGAAUAAUUUUUUUCACAAAACAAGGAGGCACUUCCUUCCGUGCGAAGAUACAGCCGGUGGGUCCCAGCUGUCAGGUGGAGGAAACAUUUUUUCAUCUUAAUAAGGAGGAACUUUCCUUGCGUGCGACCAUGGACCUCGUGGGUCCCAGCCGUCAGGCUCUCCACGUAAAGUCCUCUUCCGAUGACUCGUUUGUUGACCACUCCGCACCGAAUGCAGCGAGGCGGUGGACGAUGGUGAGGCCCCGGACGCGAACGACUUGAAGAUGGGAAAAUGUGGCAGUGGAGUCACAGAUUGAGAGGAGGAGAAGGGUUAUAACUGGUUCUGGUGCGGCGUGGGGCUGUAAUCUGUGGAGAAUAACAGGAGGUGUCGAGGGGUGGAGGGAUAGCCUGGCCGGCAGUGGGGUAGUGCUUCGCAGUGAUGCGUGCUAAGCAGAGCCGCUAGCCGCCGGAGGCCGGACCAGGCGGUCCCGGCGACGUUGGAGGAAGAAGACGAGAGAUUGAAGGUGCAUGCCGGCCAUUGGAUAUAAAUCCAAUGGCUGUGGAUGACACAAUCAUUUGUUAACCAAGUUGACAAUGCCCAGCGUAGGCUUCGACCUAUUGGCCAACAUGUCAGCCUGCAAAAAUGUGGCAUAUAUUUAACCCACGUUUUCUAGAAUGUACAGUCCAUUUGCUGGGCUGGAUGAACAAAUAAUUUCACGUCAAUCAGAACCAACAAAUAAGAUCCAAAUAAUAAGUACAACAAAGAUGCUUACACAUCUCAUUGAUUCCCAGCUUGCAAGAUUCAGAACCAACAAAUAAGAUCCAAAUAAUAAGUACAACAAAGAUGCCUACACAUCUCACUGAUUCCCAGCUUGCAAGAUUCAGAACCAACCCAUUAGAGCCUUUUGAUAAAGUGAAUAUCAGGAUUAAAUCCAUCUUGGCUAGCCAUGUCAUAUGAUCGAAGAACUUGGCGAAUGCUCUUGACCGUCACAACAUCUGUAGUUGAGUAUUCCUGUUUGCAUAGCAUGUUUGCACAACACAAACAAGGAGAUAGGAGAGCAUGAUUUCGCUUUAAUAGCGGCCUCCUUGAACUCAACCUCCAUCUCUACUUGGAUGAGGUCUGCCUGGAGUUCCAUGAUUCAAUUCAUGUACCUUUUUCUGCAGUUUAGCUGAAAUGAAGCAAAGAUUGCAUCAUCCAGCUAGCAAGAAGUAAUUGCUCUUGUGAGCUGGUAGGUUCUUCUUUAGUAGUUGCACUAAAAUUGAGGAACAUUAAGGUUGGCUGUCCGGCUCAUGUAAGGUGCAACUAUAAUUUUCUUAUCCUUUUGUGCAGUUCCACUAAAAUAAAGUGCCAUUGUGGUGACAGUGACGGCUCCAUCUUGCAAAGGCUAAUAAAAUGUUGCAUGAGAUUACCAGCAGAACUUGACGCAGAUUUUGGAAACUCCAAUCACCAUUUUGUGCAGUUCCACCAAAAUUGAGAGAUGUUGCCCACGUGACAUUUUAGUUGAACUGCACAAGACACUCAUUCCAAAAAAAGUGUUUUGUGCAGUUCACCAAAAGGUCACAAUAGCAACAAGGUGAAAUGGACAUCCCUAUCUGCACAAAAAGAUAGAAAGUAAAUAGUUGCUGGUCAAUAAGAAUAUAUGAAACAUAUACAAAAUGAAAAGAAGCAUCUUAAUUAUGUUCAUGGCAAUCAUGCAAGGACAGUAGAAAUUUUAAAACGUCAGCAAUGCUUCAUGUUACUAGAAGCAUUACGAUCAACAAUGAGAUUCCUCAAAUAUGGGAUUACUUUAAUGGUGGCAUUGCUUGUUUACCAGACACAGUAAAUCAACAGCAGCUAAAGAGUUGGUUUAAGGGCAUGGGACCGUGGGGACACCAGGACACUCAGCAGCGUAAAGGAGCAACUUACUUAUCAUACUGGGGAAAACAGCAGGAGUGCCAUUGUACUAUGUGAGGGCAGCAAAUCUAAUCUUGGAGACCUUUUAUUAUGUGAGGGCAGCAAAUCUAAUCCUGGAGACCUUUUACUAUGUGAGGGCAGCAAAUCUAAUCCUGGAGACCUUUUACUAUGUGAGGGCAGCAAAUAUAAUCCUGAGACCUUUUACUAUGUGAGGGCAGCAAAUCUAAUCCUGGGGACCUUUUACUAUGUGAUGGCAGCAAAUCUAAUCCUGGACAUACUAUGUUGACUUGUCCACCAGCCGUCACUUUCUAUCCUUUUUUCAACCAAUAAUAGAUCCGUUCCUUAUCCAGUUUGUACUGCAUUUUCCCAUUAUUUCCCUUUUCAACCAAGAGACCGGUUGGGUAUCCGGUCUCUACUACUCUCACCAUAUUAUUUCCUCUUUGAAUAAAGUCCUAGAUUCAUGCUACAACUUCCCCCCUUUCUUAGUUGUUUGAACAAAGCCCUAGAUUCGAAUGCAUGAAGUAGCUUUACCUCUAAUAAUACUAAAAAUUUAGGUGGCUUUGGAAGAGCUGAUGGGAGUAGAAAAAGAUGCACAUGCAGACACGUGGGGAGCUGGGGCAGUAGAGCAAGGCCUCUUUUGAAGAACUUAUACCUGAGGGUCGCCGAGAUGUCGGCGGCGGCAGGUCGGAUCUGCGGACAAUACGACAGGGAGGAAGAAGGGUCAGAGGAAAUCCCGAGCUGGCCAUGUGUCAGAGAGAACGGCACGGGCAGAGGAUCGGGCCCCUCCGGCAGCUGUGGGUUUCCUCCCUCGGCGGUGAUGACCGCGUGAAUGAUGCACCUUUUAGUACUCUACACACACUGGCCGAAGGGAUCCGGCCGGAUCUGUGACCAGCGCUGAGCAGAGAGAAAAUGUCGCUACCGCUAUCUUGUUUAUAUCUGGAGAGGAUGAGAGAAUGAAGAGAGCAACCCUAGUAAAGCAAGCGCUCAGGCCCCUGCGUCCAUAUAUAGUGGAGUGAUUAUCUUUUUUCUCUCCACAACAAGCGUUUCAAUUUGUGUACGUGGCAUUAAAGAAAAGAAACUCUCUAUUUAAGGUGACUACUGUACGACUCCUACUUACUACUAGUAGUACUACAGUAUUGUUCACUUGUGCUUCCCGCCCCUCCAUUCAUUGAACAACCCCACGGGUGAAUAAACAUACAGUAAGUACUGUAUUUAUAUAGAACGAACAAGCUCGAACUAUUUUCGCGUAGUUAAAAGUUGACGGCGGGGCUUUUCUCGGGCAGUACGCACGGCAGUUUUCGGGUAGGGCUAGAAGACUAUUUUAAUUUUUUUUAAACUUUGAGACGGCCACAUAGCAUGGAGCCGACCCCAACGAUUUUAAGCUUACAGGCACGGUACACACUAUCCUAGACUACUAUACACAUGAAACUACCACACAAGCAUCCGGGUUGUGCUUGGCUCUUCGCCUCUUCGGGAAGUCAAACAAUGAUGGAAUACUACUGCACUGGAGGAGUACUACAAUACGCUUCUGGCCAUCUGACACUGAUUGAACUGCUGCAUGUCCACCGCGUGCGGGAGGGAGAGCGUGUAGCGAAAGCUUCUCCUAGUCUUGCCAGCCACCACGCUCAUGGGCGAGGGAGGGACGCUCCUGCCUUUGCGUGUAUGACAGGUGGGCCCUACAGGUGUGUGGCCAACAUGUCAUACAGCCAAAGGCAGGUGCAGUUAAGUCCACGAGGGAGAGGAUAAUCAAACUUCUCAUUGAUGUACGAGUUGACACGACACAUCAAAGCACUGCACUCGAUAUAUUUCAAUAAUUUGCGUGUGUGACUCCCAGAUGCAGAGGCCGGGGGUCAUCAUCCUCCUUUUCGAGAAAAAAUAGACGCGUGUGUGAGAGGACGAGUGCGUGCGUGCACCUCUUCUCUUCCUGUAUAACGUACUACUAAACUCAGAGUACAAGUUUUUGUGGGUGGCACGAUGGUGCGUGCGAGAAGUCCCGAGAGAUAGGUUUAAUGCAUGCAUUGGUCAAUUUCUCUUAAUACUUGCAUGCAAUAAUUUAAUGCACCUUGGAAUCUGAACAUGUGUUGGGGACAACCAAAUUGAGCCUUAUAAAAUGGAAAAACUAAAAUUUUGAGAUAAGCCCUAUAAAACCGGAAAGGAGGGAGUAGAAAAAGAAGUACUCCAUCCGAGAAUAGUGCCGCACUUCGAAACUAGAACCGUCAAUAAAUUUUGAGCUUGCGUCUCGUCACAUUCCAAAUUACUCCACGCUAUAUUGAAUUGCAAACCUGUUCACACCGAUCACAACCUAAACGGUUUCCCACUUAGGAGUGUAUUAGUACUCGAUUAUAAAUACUAGUAUGCCAAGAUGACUGCACAUUCCUCCUCAACUCCUCAUCCACAAAAACAAACAAUUCAUUCAUUAUCCUUCCCUUGCGUCUGCCAUGGCCAGCGUGAGUUCUGGGUCGAGAGAUUGCCACCAGGGAGAGGCUAGCAUGGAAGCAGAAGCACGAGAGAUGUCCCGCCUCCCUGCGAGAGCACCCGACAUGUCCCGCCGCGCGGAAGUAGCAGCACAGAGGUCCCGCCGCGCCGCUGAAGCAGCACGGAGGUCCCCCCUUGCCGUCGAUGCAGCAGACUGGUCCGGCCGCGCCGUGGAAGCAGCAGAGAUGUCCCGCCACGCCACGAAUACAGCAGAGAUGUCCUGCCGCGCCGCGGUGGCCUGGGAAAAUUUCUCGCGGGCAGGCGACGACUGUUACAGGCGCAUGCAUGUGAUCGUCCAUAGCCAGAUGGAUCAGAUCUCCGGCUCGGCGAGCUUGCAGGACGACAUGAUAGCCUCGUUUGAACAGGCUACGGGCAUCAUCCGGCAACUAAGGGAGGGCAAUGAGAGGCUCCGGGCCGAGCGUGACCUACUGAGCGAGAAGAUCGUCCGAAGUGCAGAAUUGCAGGAGGAGACCAGUGCCUUGUUGAAGAAACUUAUGGACGAGAAUGACAUGCUCCGCAACGAGUGCCAAAGGCUGGUGGAGGAAUCCGUGGAUGUUCUCAAGCAGCGUCUUGAGGACACGAAAGAGCUCAUCACCGCUCGCCGCGGAGACUAGUUUACUGGUUUCUUUUGAUGUAAUAAUCGGUUUAGGAUGUGGAUUGUGUCGUCGGUUGUGAAAUGUUGGGUUCUAGCGCGGAUGUUUGGCCUUUGUUCGCCUCCUGGGAUGUUGCGAUUUCAAUCUGGUAGCUUUUAGUCCUUCGUGUUAGGCUGGAGUUGUGCUGAACUUCUUAUGAAUUGUGGUGGUUUUCAGUAAUGAAAAUCAGAAGGGGUAAGCCCUUCUUUGAUCAAAUUUUUUUUAAUUGUCCUUAUAUAUUCAUCAGUCUUGCUAUAAGUCGCAGUAGAUACUAUGUAGGUCCAUCGGAUCUUACAUCAAGAUCCAUGCUUUCAGAUUUUCUUUUUUCUCUCUUAAAUCUCAGUCGAGUGAGACAUAGCCACGCCAUUAAAUAGAGGCUCGGGCGCCAUUAAUGGAGACCUUGGGAGAGAGGUGGACGGCAGAUGGAGGUCAAAGGGCUCUCCUCCCGAUAAGCAUGCACAGGGGUCUGAUCACACGCCUCUCAUACUCAAAUAGCUACCCUACACGACGCCUCCUAGCUAAUAAAACAUGGGGACGCAUGGCGGCAUGUAAAUGGUACUAGUAAGUAGAACGCCCACAGUUGCAAUAAUACUUGUGUUUCCGAUUGUAACGUGACAGCACUUGUUCCAAAAUGACUUUGUUGAUUGUUCAUUUGUGCGCCUUCGCAAAUCGGACUGCAAAUUUACCACAACAUGUUGGUGCCAUGUCAUGGCACCAAGCCAAGUUUCAUUAUUUUCAUGCGUGUUUUGGAUUUACAGGAAUUAAAAAACUAAGUUUCUCAAUGUUUCCAACCCAGCCACGACGCCAGAAUUUUGAAUUUCAUUCCCAUUUCUUGCAUGGAACCUAGAAAUUUACCCGAGGACACACAUGUGAUUUUUCAACCAACUUUGGUGCACUGGAACAUGUGCUUGUAUUUCAAAUUUGAAUUAUGCACACAAAGGUGACACGUUCCUUCCAGAACCACGAGCCUUCUUGAGAGAAGCUCCGAUUUGCAAGAAGCUUAUACCAAAAUUUGUUCCUAUUCGGCCAAUUUUUUUACCAUGACAUGACACCAUGCCAAGUUUCAUGAUUUUAAAACCAAGUUUCUCAAUGUUGUCAACCGAGCCACGAUGCCCAGAUGUUUGAAUUUUAUUCUCAUUUUUUGCAUGGUACCUACUCCCUCCUUCCAUCUAUAUAGGGCCUAAUGUGUUUUUCAAGAUAGCAUUUGACUAUUGACAAGAUUAAUAGCACAUGAGAUGUAUACUAUGAAAAUUAUAUUAUUGGAAGCUCCUUUGACAUACAAAAUUGAAGGUAUGCUUUGUGUAAGUUGCAUGUCAUAUAUUAUUGCUCUAAUGUUUGGUCAAAGUUAGAGUCGAAAAACGCAUUAGGACCUAUAUAGGUCGAAGGAGGGAGUAGAAAUUCACCCGAGGACACAAAUGUAAUUUUUCCACCAACUUUGGUGCACGGGAGCAUGUGCUUGUAGUUCAAAUUUGAAUUAUGCACAUUAAAUGACCAAAAACUCAAUUAAUGUGUAAAUAAGGCCAAACGAAGCCGGAAUAAUUCCAAAAUUUAACAGGGCACUCAUGUAGCUCUAUGUUGCCUUUGUAAAUAAGCUCAAGGGGAACAAUGUAUAUCAUUUCGCACUCAAAGCUGGCACGUUCCCUCUCAAAACCACGAGCCUUCUUGAGAGAUGCUUCGGUUUGCCAAAGCUUAUACCAAAAUCUGUUCCUAUUCGGCCAUUUUUUACCACAACAUGGUAGUACCAUGACAUGACAUCCAUGCCAAGUUUCAUGAUUUUCAGACGUGUUUUGGAUUUACAAGAAUUUUAAAACCAAGUUUCUCAAUGUUCUCGGCUGAGCCACGAUGCCUAGAUGUUUUAUUUUAUUCUCAUUUCUUGCAUGGGACCUAGAAAUUCACCUGAGGACACAAAUGUGAUUUUUCAACCAACUUUGGUGCACGAGAGCAUGUGCUUGUAGUUCAAAUUUGACUUAUGCACAUUAAAUGACCAGAAACUCAAUUAAUGUAUAAAAAACGACAAACGAACCUGCAAUAAUUCCAAAAUUGAACAGGGCACUAAUGUAGUUCUAUGUUGCCUUUGUUAAGAAACUCAAGGGGGACAGCGUAUAUCGUUUCACACUCAAAGGUGGCACGUUCCCUCUUAGAACCACGAGCUUCCAAAUCGGCCCAAUUUUUUACCACAACAUGUUAGUGCCAUGACAUGACACCAUGCCAAGUUUCAUGAUUUCCAGGCGAGUUUGAUUUACAUGAAUUUAAAAUCAAAGUUUCUUGAUGUUCUCGGCCGAGUCAUGACGCCCAGAUGUUUGAAUUUCAUUCUCAUUUCUUCCAUGGGACCUAGAAAUUCAACCAGGGACACACAUGUGAUUUUGCAACCCACUUUGGUGCACCAGAGCAUGUGCAUGCAAUUCAUAUUUAGAUUAUGCACAUUAAAAGUCCAGAAACUCAAUUAAUGUAUAAAAAGGCCAAAUGAACCCGAAAUAAUUCCAAAAUUUAAUAGGGCACUCAUAUAGUUCUAUGUUGCCUCUGUAAAUAAAAUCAGGGGAGGCAGCGUAUAUCAUUUCGCACACAAAGGUGACACGUUCCCUCUCGGAACCACGAGGCUUGUUGAGAGAAUCUCCGGUUUUGCAAGAGGCUUAUACCAAAACUUGUCCCAAUUCAGCCAAAAAUUAUAUGUAUGAAAAUAGGGUUUAGAUUAUCCCAAACAUCUCGCUACCUAGACCAAUAAUGUACUAUGAUUUGAAUUCAACAUAAAAUGGAUACAAAUAUUUGAAUUGGAGAGUGUAUGGUACAUGUAGUUCAUAUUGAAAUAUGAUUACUGCUAUAUGUAUGUUUUUUGUUAUCAAGAUAAUAUUUAAAUUAUUGUAUAACUUGACAACAAUUGUAUUCAAGUAAGGAAAAUUGAUUCAAAUUUAGUCCAUAUGGUAGACGACAAUAUGUAUGUUCACAUGGUGGAGUAAAAUGUUCAUAUAUGAUGGAAGAUCAAAAUGUAUGACUACAUCAAUUAUAAACCGCAAGGUCACCUAAUGAUAUAUUCUAAUUCAACAUAACGUGGAUUCAAAAAUUGAAAUUCGAGAUCAUGGCAUCUGUAAUCAUAUAAAAAGGGACAUUACUCUUUAUUUGGUGGGAAUUGAUUUGUUUUUUGUUGUUGUUGAGGGAAGUGCGAAUCGAUUUGGUACUGUGCAGGGUAAUCUUGUUCUCCCAAUUUUUUUUACAUUUUUGUUGUAGUUUUUUCAAUGGCAUCUAUAGCAAUAUAGUAAAAGGGGACAUGACUCUUUUGUGUCUUGUAUGAAUUGUUUUUUUACACGUUAAGUUUGUUCUGCCGAACAAGGAAUCCGCACCUUGUUAUCCCGAAAUUUUCAAGCUCGAGUAUCUUUUGUCUCACCUGCUUUGAAACUCCCGCUUAUUCAACCCGCGCCGCGACUUGUUAUCCCCAAAUUUGGAUGCGCGCGAGAACUCCCUCCUCAUCCGAAAUCGCUCCCGCAGCCCAGACACGCGAAAUCCCCCUUCUACCCCUCAACCGGAAAUGAAGUUCCAUGUCGCAGUGUCAAAACCGGUGGCGGUACGCUGGUAACUUACCCUACAUUUCGGACAAGCGCGUCCCUAAGCUUGGCUCACCCCUCCCCCUUCGCCCCCACCCCCAUUCGUACACUGAGGCUGCCCAAACCCGCGAAACCCCAUGCUCUUCCAUCGGCCUCGCGACCGCCGCCCAGCCGGAGACUCUUCCCCGACUACGUCGUCCACCGGAACAGCUCGCCGUCCCUCAUCCACCGCACUGGAUGAGGAUCCGUUGUUGAUCUCGUCGUCCCGCCGGAUCAGCUGCCCCGUCCUCCACCUCCAAGGAGCUGCCCCGAUGUUCGCCUCGUCUAUCACGCCACCUCAAUCCCCACAGCGCCGUCUUGACCUGCCCCACCGAAACCGCAACACCCUCACCAAUUCCUCCGAUGAAGUUGAGGCCAACUCGGCGCCACCAAGGAGGUUCUGCACUCACCACUGCAUUUUAUCUUUUAUUCGAUAUCAUGGGGCUGCCGGUGCUCGAUACCGAGCAGACAUGGUGUGUCUCCAUCGACGGUGCUAUCGCCGGCCACAUCAUCCACGACGUCUCUCCCCCACGUCGUUGCUUCCUUGGCGGUGACUUCCACAACGACACUAGCUGCAGCUGCUCCGGCUCUCGAUCGCGCUGCGGCUCUGAUCUUGUUGUCGGUCGCGCUGCUGCACUACUCCUGCUUUCGUUCAUGCUAUUGCUCUGCUCUUAUUGCUUGCGCUGCUGCUGCUACACGACCUCCGGCAGCUACAGGAGUUGCUGCUUUAGCACUCGCUCGCGGUGCUAUUGCAGGACCUGCUCUCUGCUAGUGCAUUCCCUACUCGAGCGUCUACUGAUUUAGAUCACUGCUUCUCUGCUACUAGUGCUCGAACGCCCUAAACAUCUAUUGCAAUGCUUUGUUACUAGCUCAAUCAGUUUCGACAGUAAAAUUCAGUUUCGACUGUGAAGUUCAUUUUCUUCAGUUAAGUUCGGAGUGAACAGUACUUACAACAUCUGUUGGAGCAGCCGUGGCGCGGCUGAUGCGUUUUACAUCUAGCACUUUUUGGUGAUGUAUUUUACAUCAUCUAUUGUAGAUGAUAUUAGGGUCCCACUUCAGAUUAACGUUGUCUGUCUUGUCAUGCUUCAGCCUCGUCACCGUACACCUUAGCGGAGCUGCUCCAACGACGGAACCGUCCAUCACAGUGGAGCAGUACCCUCGGCGCCGUUUCCAGAGGCCUCGGAUCUUCUUCCCCGCCUCUGAUAGUCACACCAGCAUCAUCACCAUCCUCCAUGUCCAACCCAAUGAUGCUGAGGUCCACAAGGCUAUGCCAAAGAGGUUGUACACUUGUCGCAUCACUUUGUUUCUCCAUUCCUCUGUUCUUCCAAUUCAUGUGAGCCAAACACCCAGGUUGACUGAAAUCCUACGUUUCCAAAUGCUCUGUUUUGCACGUGCAUUCCUAUCCUAUUCCUGUGUUUUUCCUGUCUCUGCAUUUAUAGAAUCCUCCAAUUCUAAGGAGCCCUUACAGAUUUACUUUAUUUUCAGAUAGGCGUCAAAGAAAACUCUGUGUGUUAUGUCCUGCUCCUGCCAUGCCGUCAUCCACCCCACCUGAGGUGCACCAUCGACAGAAGCGUUCACUGCAGCAGAGAUCCCCCCUGCAGACUUACUUUCGCCGCCUCAGAUCAUCUUCAUCGUUGCCGGAAGCCACGCCAACUGCAUUACCAUCAUCGACUGAGCACAUGAACCUGAGGACUACACAGUUCCGGAAGAGAGGCUGCAGUCUUUCAUGUUUGCUUACGUUAUACAUCGGUUAUUAUUACCUGCUACUUUAUCGUUCAAUCUUGAGUUUUGAAUUGCCCAUGGGUCUCAUAUCGAGCCAGCAACGAAUAGUAUCUGUCUACUAUCUGGUUCAUCUGGGUCUUCUAUGUGGUUCAUGUUGGGUGGGCAACAAACAAUAGAUGAUCCGUUAUCUAUCUUUUUAAACUGAAGCUAUAAGCUACCUGCUAUCAUUAGUUUUGGAUCCAUCCACUCGUUUUCUACCAUCAGUCUUGAUUUUUGCAUGCACCCCUUAGGCCUUACAAAAUCUAUCUAUUUUUUAUUAUGCAUGUCAGAUAUUGUACACAAUCGUACUGAACAUGUAGAGAAAAAGAGAAGACUGUUGCGUGCGAAUAUAAUGUCAUGCAGACGCUGCUCCAUGGUGGGCGAAGAGCCCCCCUCCUGCAUUUCUAGAUUGUAUUCCAGAGGAAGAUAACUAUUCAGAUGGAGAUUCAGAAGGAGCCGACCACUCCUGUUUACCACCUGAGGUGUUUGCUCUAACCUGGCAUGCUGAUGUUGAUCAUAUCAUGCAUAUGACGCCUUGCAUUCCUUACAUUAUACAUCUUAUAUGUCAUCAGCUUAGUUUAGAUUUGCUUUGUGUGAAUGCCACCUGUUUGGUUUUUAUAUCAUACUCCCACCAUUCCUAAAUAUUUGUCUUUUUAGAGAUUUCAACAAGUGACUACAUACGGAACAAAAUGAGUGAAUCUACACUCUAAAAUGGGUCUAUAUACAUCCAUAUGUGGUAGUCCAUUUGAAAUCUAUAAAAAGACAAAUAUUUAGGAACGGAGGGAGUAUAUGGGAAUUAUGCAAUGUCAUCUUCUUUAGCCAGACAUCAUAUACGUGAAUCAUGCAAUGCCAUCCUGUUUAGCCAGUCAUCGUAUAUGUGAAUUGUAUCGUGCCAUAUUUUUUACAUAAUGUAUUCCAUUUGUCAACAAUGUUUAUACAUUCAUCUACUCUUCCUAUGCAUCAGCCAUUUGAGUCAGUCAUGGGAAAAUCUAGAGUGAAAACAAGGUCUUCUGAGCAGUCAGUGCUACCUGUCGAUGCAAAUUUCUUGCUGGUUACAGAUAGCUCCUCAGAGGAGGAUUCAGAGAGAGAUGACUAGUCGUAUCCCCCCCCCCCCCCGAGGUGCAUGCUCUAACUUGGCUGGGUUAUAUUGCUCAUAUCAUGCAUAUGGUGUCUUGCAUUGCCAUGCCAUCUGCUUAGAUUAGACAUGCUUUGUGUGAAUGCCUCAUGUUUGCUUUCUAUAUCAGAUAUGUGAAUUAUGCAAUGCCAUGUUUUUCAGCCAGUUAUCAUAUAUGUGAAUUAUGCACCGCCAUGGAGCCAGGCAUCAUAUAUGUGAAUUAUCUCAUGCCAUCUUUUUUUUUCAUUACGUAUUCCAUUUGUCGACAAUCUGUGUAUAUUGAACUACUCUUCAUGUGUAUCAGCCAUUUGAGCCGGUUAUGGAAAAAUCUAGAGUGAAAACAAGGUCUUCAGAGAAGGCAGUGGUACAUGUUGAAGCAUAUAUCUUGAUGGUUACAGGGAGCUCCUCAGAGGAGGAUUCAGAGAUAGAUGACCAGUCCUAUAUCCCACCUGAGGUGUAUGCUCUAAGUUGCAAUGUUCAUAUUUCUCAUAUCAUGCAUAUGGUGUCUUGCAUUGCUUAGUUUAGACAUCAUAUCCACAAUAUUGAAUUCUAUCUGGUUAGUUUAGAGAUCAUACAUGCGAGUGCCAGCUGCUUAGUAUAUGAAUCAAAUAUGUCAAUUGUAUCAUGCCAUCCUGUAUACUUAGACAACAUGUAUGUGAAUUAUUUCAUCCCAACCUAUUUUAGAAAGACAUCAUAUAGUUGUGUCAUGUCAUCCUGUUUAGGUACUCAUCAUAUGUUGAAUUAUGCCAUUAUAUCGUGUUAAGUUAUCCAUCAUAUAUCUGAAACUGUGUCAUGCUAUCCUGUUUAGUUAGGCAUCAUAUAUGUGAAACUGUGUCAUGCUGUCCUAUUUGGUUAGACAACAUAUAUGUGAAUUACCACAUCUGUCUAUCAUACAAUGUCUGUACGUUCAAUUUCUUUUCUUGUUUAUCAGCCAUUUGAAUUGGAGGGGGUGAUGGCAGUAUCUAAGGGAGCAAAAACCCGUUCUUCACAAAAGACAGUACUACCCAUCGAUACAGAUAGAACCAUGGUUGUACUGGCCCACAAACUAGCCCCACCACACAUAAUCGAGACUCUUCCAGAUUGCAUACUUACACCGUUGGGCAGAGAACCAGCUACAACCCAUCUAACCGCAACCCCAGCAGAUAGUAACCCACUUAUAGUUGACAAAGCACCAUGUCCACCACAGAGUACCCCCACACAAGCAGUUUGUAAAGCUAAUACAAUGCCCAAAGCACAAAGACCACCACAGCUAACCCAAACUCCACGUUUAGAGCAGAAGAGCAACUAUUCUCAGGUCAGAUUCCGUAGUUAUGGUCCAUACUCCUUUGCUGUUGCAUCACUAUAUUUACUCAUACCAACUACUUUCGAAUUUGAAGGAUCCAAUUGAAACUCCAGUGGCGCAACGGCUAUGUUUUAAACCUAUUUCUUUAACUGGAUUGAUGUUCUAACUUCUUGCUCUAUGUUCAUUUCAGUUUAAGUUGUAUAAACAGUUAUGUUCUCAUGUGCUGCCAAUGCUGUGUAAUUUCUCACACUUAUAUUCUGUCUAUGCUGCUGUGUCUUAAAAAUAUAUGAGUUGAACUGUGUCUCUAUCUUGAUUAGGGAACAUAAACUAGAAUGAUAUGGACAAUACAGUGACCAUAGUACAUAGAUAUAUGUUUGUUUCAUGCUGUUAUCCUGUCCACCUUACUACUGAACCGGUUUACCAAAAUGAGUUUCGUAUACUAAUAGAUAAACCUGUGAUGUGUCUACUUGUUUCUCUUAUAGUAUGCAAACAGAAUAUUGGAGAAGAGCACCCCACUAUGCAAUGGUAGAGAAAGUAAUGCAGAUAAGGUUCAAGAUAGUGAGACAACCCUGUUGGUCUCAAAGAAAGGUGAUAAAAACGAUCUUGUAGACAGUGAGAAAACCCCACAGUUCUGCGUUGAUGUAGUGUUCGAGUUACUGGCCAGUACCGCUGGCACAAUCUCUUCGAACUCGCUACCUGAAUCACUUCGGCUUCUUCAGUCUCAGCUACAAGCUGAAAGGCAUCAGUUAGCUGUGCUGCGGCAAGAAGCCGAAGGACUGAGGAAGUCCCUGUAGAAUUCAGAUGCGUACUUUCUUGUGCAACAGCAAGCGCUGGAGGAUUUAAGCACCAAACAAGAGAAAGUUAAUAAUCUUGCUAAGCAUCUUGCCAUCGUUAUGGGUACCUAGGAUAUUGUUUCUUGAACUCUUCUGAAGUGGUUUCAGUUCUGGACUUCUUUUGCUGCGAUGUUUAUAUGCUGCUUUGUUCCCUAUAUUUGCAUUGGUGGCAAACUUUGAUGCCUAGUGGAUGUAAUAUGUGUAAUAGUCAUGAUAGCCUAGCAUAAGUUGCUUGCUUAUUUAUUUCCUUGUUGUCUUGUUUAUUUUUUUGCUUGUAGUCAGUGCAGUUCUUUUUCCACAGUUUGCUAGUGGCUGCAAUAACCUAUUUUUUAAAAUUAGGCCACAAUAACCAUGGGCUAAUAUUUACUGUAGUGACACUAGGCCUCCUACGGGCCGUAGAAACAGUGGGCCUUCUACGGGCCAUAGAAACAGUAGGCCUUCUACGGGACGUAGAAAUAAUGGGCUUUCUACGGGCCUUAGAAACAAUGGGCCUUCUAUGGGUCGUAUCAUCAAUGGGCCUUAGACGGGACGUAUGAUCGAUUGGCCAAACAUGGGCCAAUAACAGGCCGCAUUAUGGCUGUAAACAGGCCAUCGUUAAUAGGCCGUAUUUGAUGACGCUAUGAAAAUGGCCCAACGUAUUAACGGACCACAAACGGGCCGACUGUAACCACGGGCUGAAUUUGGCCCACAAGCAGAAAAUGACAGUAACAGGCUGUAAGUAAACGAAUGCUGGAAAUGAGCCCAAGAAUAAAUGGGCUCUGAGAAGGCCGAAAGAUAACAUCGACUGGAAAUGGCCCAACGGAAUAACGGGUUGUUAAUGGGUAUAAAGUGAUACACUGUUCAUUACGGGCCAGUUUCACCAAGGGCCGUUAAUGGGUGUAAAGUGAUACACUGUUCAGUACGGGCCAGUUUCACCACAGGUUGUUAAUAGGCCAAGAGUUACAUAGGGCCUCAUAUGGGCCAAAAGACGUCAUGGUCCAUACAUGGGCCAGAAGUGAAAACGGGCUGGAAUCAUAUUAGAUGGCCGAGAUGACGCCUUAUUCGGAUAGGGCGUAACGGGCCUUGGGUUAGCGGGCUGUAAAUGGGCUAUACGUGAACAUGUCGUUAACAGGCUUUCCAUGGGCCGGCCGGACACCGUUUGACCAAGUCAAACGGGCCGGCCUUUUCACAGGAAUGGGCCUCUGUUGGGCCGUGCCACGUGUCGAUGUAUCAUAGGCGCCUUCUUUCCAAUGAGUGGAUAACAUCUGUCCCAACGAUGAGCCGACAUGUGUUUUCUCUAGCCAAUGAUGAUUCUACAUGUGGAAAAUCCCCAUUGGUCGGGGCUGUUAACGGGUUAUCGGAUCCAAAACCCGACCAGAUAGCUUAACGGUGUUCCAUUACGGUGGAUGCCACCUGUCGAUCACCCUUGAUGAAAGCACUUCUAUGACGCGCGAUUUAUCGUCAUGGAAGUGCACACUUCCGUGAUGAUAAUUUUGGUAAUGUCAUGGAACACUUCUAUGACAGCACAUGUAUGACUAUCUUGAUUCUAUCAUAAAAUCGUCAUGGAUGUACAUGCAUGACAAAAAACGCAACCUACUGUGACAAACACGUAUCAUCAUAGAAGUGUAUUUUUUGGGGACAAUUGCAUUUUUACCCCUAGUUGCUUCCUACCCACGGGUUUUGCCCUUACUUUUCGAGCUUGCUCAGUUUUGCCCUUACUUUUUCCGUCGAGGUCCCUCAAAUGCCCUUUGACCGUUUGACCAAAACUUUGAAAAUUCAUAACUAAUUCAUAUUAACUCAGAAAAAUGCAAAUAAGAUAUCAAAAUGUUCAGAUAAACAUUACCUUUAUGCGCAUAUCAUUUGCAUUCAGGACAAAAGCACCCUUUAAACAACCUGAGGUAAUUAAUGUUAUUAACAUUAUUCAAAAUAAAAGGUAUAAACAAUUUCUUUCAUGAAUAAAAAUUACAUGCAAAUGUAGGUGAUGUUUUCUGAACAUCCAGAUAUCUUAUUUGCAUUUUUCUGAGUUCGUACCAUCAUGUUAUGAAUGUUCUAACGACUUUGACAAUUAUUUGGAAACUUCAUAACAAAUUGAUACAAACUCAAAAAAAUGGAAAUAAGAUAUCAAGAUGUUCAGGAAACAUCACCUACAUUUGCUUGUAAUUUUUAUUCAUGAAAAAAAUAUUGUUUAUACCUUUUUAUUUUUAAUAAUGUUAAUAACAUUAAUUACCUCAAGUAGUUUGAAUGGUGCUUUUGUCCUGAAUGCAAAUGAUAUGCACAUAAAGGUAAUGUUUAUCUGAACAUUUUGAUAUCUUAUUUGUAUUUUUCUGAGUUCAUAUGAAUUAGUUAUGAAUUUUCAAAGUUUUGGUCAAACGAUCAAAGGGCAUUCGAGGGACCUCGACGGAAAAAGUAAGGGGAAAACUGAGCAAGGUCGAAAAGUAAGGGCAAAACCCAUGGGCGGGAACCAACUAGGGGCAAAAAUGUAAUUGCCCCUAUUUUUUGUAGUGGUUGCAUCGAGGUUAAAGUAAUCCCUCAUAAUCUCGGCAUGGCCCUUCAUUCUAUCUCGAUUGAUGUGCAUAUGGUCGAAUUGUGAUCCUACUCUUGGCUGCAAAAAUGCCUGUUGAAGAUCGUGGCAACGGCCAUUUCCAAGUUUUCAUCGUGUUCUUCCUCCUCAUUCGAUGAAGAGUUGUCAAAGUUCAACUCCCUCAACCUCUUCAUCUACACUAGAAAUGACAAGGUGUAGUUCAAUUGCCAAAAGGAAAAACGAGAUGAAAAAGCACAAAAUAACUCACCUAGGUAAUAUGCCGAACACUCGAAAGACGACGGGAUUUUCACGGCCGACUAGCGAUGGUGCGCCAAUGCCAAAGUAGCUAGUGGUCGGUGGGACUUCGAGAUGGCCGACAGUCGAUGGAGGAGAUUGGAGGAAGAAGAUGCAGUGCGUGCUUCUAGCGACGGGAUCGAUGCGCUGGUGGCGGAGAUAGAUCUUGAUUCCGACGAGGGCACCAACUGGUGAGCGUCUCGGAGUAGGGAAGGAGGGCGGCCGAGACAGCGGUGUGUCAGCGGAGAGAAAGGGUGGUCGCCGGAGGCAACACCGACGACGAUGUGGCGUGGGAUGGAGGGCAAAACUUUUACUCGAUGGGUGGGUGGCCAAGUAUAUUUGAGAGUUGGGUCGGCUCCAGAGUAAAAAAAAUACUCUUCUAAUAGUGAUAGGGGAUUGUUUAGGUGCGGUUUAGAGGAGGAAACCCGAAUUUUUACUCCUCUAAUGCCUAUUAGGGGAUUUGUUAGAGAUGCUCUUGGAACAAAUCUUUCUAGACAUGUUAACCUUAUUUUGCAACCAUAUCGAAACAUAUGUGAAGAUUUCAUGAGAAGGGGUGGAGCUGAAAGAGCUACGAUCUUAUAAUGGAGGAACUACAUGGUGAGGAUACGGGGCAAAGGAAGACAUAUAUGUGAUAACGUGCCCUGUGCAGUUUGUAGUGUAGGAUCGAUAUGCUACAAUAUCCAUCAGCUGGUCUGCAAUGUUGUUUGAACUUUUUUUGCGCAUGCGAUAUGGGAGCUGUAGUUUUGGGAUGAACCUUUGCUUUUGUUUUCCUACCUUGUGCCUUAGACGAUGUUUUUAUGUUUUGUUCCGUUAUCUUUUGAUAGUGGAACCUGGUCCAUUCAUGGAUCCUAUGGCUAUGAAAGAAAGCUAGUCUACACGGUGCCAUGUGCCAUAUACGAUGUAUUGUAGCUGAACUUGCACCAACCUGCCAUGGAGUGCUACAUCCUGCACUAAUAGUUAUGAGAAUGACGUGGUAUAUUAUCAAAGGUACUCUAUGCCUCCAUUAGGGACGCUCGAAUUACAAAAAAUGUUUGAGUGGGUUUUCCGCUCCCAAUAAAGUAAAAAAAUGAAAAAAAAAUCUGAAAGUUUGCAACGUCAAACAUGAUCAAACUUUCUAGGUGCUUGCAAGUUUUCAUGCCAAAAAAACAUUUGAGGAGCUCUACACAAGAAAAAGAUUUCAAUGUUUGAAGUUUUGAGCACUUUUUGGACUGAAAUCUGAAACUCAUGAUAUUUGAGGAGCUCUACAUGAUAUUUUGUUAAGAAAACUUGUAAGAACCUACCUUGUUUGACCAUAUUUCAUGCCGCAAAGUUUUGGUUUUUUUGAAUUUACUGUUCAUAGAGGGUGUAAGCCUUACACCCUCUAUUUGUUGGCAGUUAUGAGGGAGAAAUUCAUGAAAUAUUGGUCUGACUAUAGCAUAUUUCUGUCUUAUGCUGCUGUUCUUGAUCCCUGCAUGAGUUUUUAGGAUAUGCCUACUCCAAGCUAUAUGAUGGUGAUGAUGCCCUUCAGCACAUUGAUAUUGUUAAAACUACAAUGACUUCUUUCUUUAAUGAGUAUGGUAGUGGUGUACAUGUCAAUGAAAACUUAGCAACAAGUGCAUCAUCAAGCAUGUGUGGACUUGGUGCCUUUUCUGACUAUGAUUAGUACGUGGAAAGCACGAGCUCACAUGAAGAGAGAUCUGAAUUGGAAUUGUAUUUGGCUGAACCUAUGAAGAGGUUGAAUGUAAACGUCAAUAUCUUGGAUUUCUGGAGUAAGUCUGUAGCUAGGUAUCCGCAACUAGCAAGAAUGGCACAUGAUAUCCUUGCAAUUCAUGUGUCAAGUAUUGCUUCAGAAUCCGCUUUCAGCUUGAGUAAGAAGGUUAUAACCCUGAACCGAAACUCACUUAAACCAAAGAUGGUUGAGGCCCUAAUGUGUUUGCAAGAUUGGUAUCGUUACAAACUACAGUAAAAAGAAGGUAUCUAUUGUAAUCUUGUUUGUUUCACAUUCUUAUUUGUAUGUUUUACUUCCAAAAGAUAAUUAACCCAAUGUAUUGUUGUAGAUAAUGAGAGAAAGGCAAAAGAAGUGAUUGUGCUAGAUAAUGAUGAAGAUUCAUCUUCGGAUGAAGAAUGUAACAUCUCUAUUGUUUGUUCAUAUCAUUGUCAAUUGUCAAGUUGUACUUUAUACUACCACUAACUUUCUGUUCAUUCCAUCUUGUAGAGUUGUUGCUACACUCCUAGAGCAAUGAGAAGAGAAGAUUCGGAGAAGGCAUGCCAGCCAUCUACUAGUCUUUAUUUCGGUUCUGGAAUGUAAUGAUAUUCAUGCACUUGUGUUUGUGGAAACUGGAACAUUUAGAACUUUAGAUGCUAUUGUCGAAACUGGAAUGUUUACAUGCUGAUUGUCUAAUCGUAAAUGUUUAGCUGCCCUCAAAACUAUGAUGUUCUGAUAUCAAAACUAAUGUUGUUCUGCUGUCAAAACUACUGUUGUUUGCUGUCAAAACUACGGUUGUUUUGCUGUCAAAACUAGUGAUGUUUUACUAUCAAAACUAGUGUUGUUUCGCUGCUGUUUUGCUGUCAAAACUAGUGAUUUUUUGUUGUUGUUUUGAUGUCAAAGCUAGUUAUGUUUUUAUGCUGUUUUCCUAAUGUUCUACUGCAGUUUAGUACUACUGUUUACUAUCAAAACUUGUGUUGUAAUGCUGUUUUGUCGGGCCGUCGGGCCGAGCUUCGGGCUUUGCCUCGGGCCAGGCCUGGGCCUAGAAAACGUAGGAAUUUGUCGGGCCAGGCCAGGCUCGGGCCUGUCCCAUUGACGUCGGUUUUUUAGGCCCUGCCCGGCCCGAGAUAUGGCGAGGUAUAGUGUAAGGGCACCCGGGAGAUAUCACACAUUUCUCAAAAUGUUUUUAUUUGAUGAGAAGGUGACACAUAAAGCUACGAUCAAUGUAGGGAAACCCAUCAAUCUUAGUCUCUUAGACUAGUAUAACCUGUUCCUUGGCUUUGGCGUGUUAGAUCUCUCUCCACUUUCUCUGAUGUAACGAGCUUCUCACGGUCUCACCUUAGAGCAUCUCUAGCAGGUCCCUUAUAUCGCGGACCCUUAAGACUGUUAUAAGGGUCACAAAAACAUGUUUUAAGGGUCGACUUUACCUUUCGCGGAACAAACUCUGUAAACGACACUAUAAAAACGAAUAUUCCUCUAAGAGAUGCUCCCAGUUGUCCUCCUCCACCUCCCCUCCGUGUUCACUACCGGACUCGCGGUCUAUGCCUACGGCCACGGGCCGUCGGCAUAGGCCCCUAGGCCGUUGGCAUAGAUCUAUGCCUAGGGUUGCCGUCGGCAUAGGCCCGUCGGUGUAUAUGUCGUUAGCGUAGUCUUGUUAGACCGUCGGCAUAGUAUAGCCAUCGACAUAGGGGCCUAUGCCGACGGCCCGACGUCAGCCGUCGGCAUAGUAUAGCCGUCGGCAGUGUUUUUCGUCUGACGGCAACGGACGACGCCAUCAAAAGCGCUGACGAAUCACGCAAUGCCACAUCGCAGAUGCCACGUGGCAACCUGUGGUACUCCUGGUGGCAGGGGUAUGCCUACAGCAAAGCCGUAGGCAUAGAUGAAUCUAUGCCGACGGCAUAUCUCUGCCAUGUGUCAUCUCCUGGUUCCUCCUGGCAGCAGGGCUAUGCCUACGGCAAAGCCGUCGGCAUAGAUUUUCAGCUAUGCCUAUGGCUUUGCUGUAGGCAUAGAUGUGCCAUGUGGCAAGCCCUGGUAACUCCUGGGCGUAUAUAUGCCGACGGCUUUGCCGUAGGCAUAGUUUUUUUCCCUAUUUUCUCUUUUGCAAUUCAUUUGACAGCAUUUCAAAACAGAACAAUAUGAAAUUAUGCAGAAAUAUGACAAUUCAUCAUGUAAACAUACUCAAAUUCAUCUAAACAUACUCAAGUUCACCAUCAUCAUCUAAACAUACUCAAGUUCAUCACAUCAUCUAAAGAUCAUCACCGACGGAAGUUCAUGAACAUAAAAGUAGUGCAAUACAUGAAACAUCAUAAAAGUAGGAACAUCAAAGGCAUGGCACGAUGGCCACAUGCACGGAAUCAUCAAGCAAGACCACCUCCGCCAAAACCACCUCCUCCUCCGCCAAAACCACCACCACCUCCGCCAAAACCGCCAUCGCGACCACCACCACUCUGCCAGGUCGGAGUGACUGGGGUCAACGGAGCAGGAGUCGAGCCAUCGGUCCCCUACAUGUUUCAGAAAAGAUUCUAACGGUAAAUAUGAUAUGAUAGUGUUUCAUGAACGAGAACUAGUUUGCCAGUAGUUAGGAAAAUGUACUAACCAGACCAUCACUGCCUAGUGCCACCCAUUCAUCAAACGUCGGCACGUGUGGGGGUUCUCCCGCAGGUGGUGGUGGGGGUCCCAUUUGUGGUGGAUCCGUGCGGUUAGUCCAAGACGCCAACAUAGCCUGAAUGUUAGUUAAACAAGCAAACUAGAAGAUCAGAAGGAAUGAAAGUGCAAAAAUUUAGCUUGGUUUUAAGAGGGCAAAACUAACCGUCAUCAUCUGACGGUGGUAAUCAUCGUUUGCCUUCACUCGUUUCAAGUACUCCCGCACCUCGAGAUUCCUAUGCUCGACAAACUCCUUAUAUGCCAACAUAAUUUAGGUUGUUUCUAAGUGAGCAAUGCUGAAAAUAAACUGAGAAUGCUAGAUAGAAAAAGAUAAAGAGGAAGUACUUACAGCAUGCUGGCGGGCUAAGGGAGUCUGUGAACGCCCCGUACUCUCUAACUGGCUCGGGUUGGUAGCCCGAAGCCGUGUGUACGAGAUCGAAGGAGUGAUCAAGCCGUCGAAACACGGAUACCGGCCAUUCUUCUUCCCCUGGAUGGCCACCACCGCUGUGUCGUCGAUCUGAGACUGGGCGACCUCAGCAACAGGAACAUCCGGAUGCAACUCCUGAUAGUGAUGAAUGUAAGACCCCAGGUGCUCCUCGGUCUUGCCGUAGUACUGGCUCUCGCCCUCCUUGCGAUGACUCCACUCGCGGGCCAGCUUCCACGACUCCAUGUCUGAGAGCGACCUCUUCAACUUGUCCUCCUACAACGUCAAAUAGAAGUCAGCCAUACAUAAGAACAUGACGGUAAAUAAGAAAAAAAAAUGCAUCAUGCACAUAGAUAUACCUUCAUGGCCUUGAAGCCCCAGUGGUUCUUGUUUCCUUGGCCGUGUGUCCCGUCGUCUCCACGGUUAGCCCGGGCCUUGAUGCUCUUGGCAGCAAACUCUGCAUCGGCGCCGAGCCACCUAUCCACCAAACUCGCCCAUCUGUCAUGCCUUCCAUAGCACCAACGAGGAACAACCUAUGCAAAUUUUGGAAGCAUGACAUGUGAGCACGAAACAUAUAGUUGCCUGCUUGAAACAAUGAAAAGUUAGUAUUAGUUACCAUCAUGAACUGCUCCCUGUUCAAGGUAAGUCGUAGCUUCUGCGCUUGAGUUUUGGUCAUCUUUUGGUGCAGGUAGUAGUGGUAGUACUGCGAGACGACAACCCAGCGCACCUCAUACUGCAACUGACGAGCUUUCUUCUUCGUAGCCGCAAGCAAGACCACGUCGACUCUGGCCUUGUGCUCGUCAAGAACUCUAUAGAGUUACUGCAAUCAUGCAUAAACCAGAAGCAAUCAAGGCAUGAGUUGAGUGAUUCAAUGAUAAACUAUGAACGAAACUGAAGACAAGUGAUUCAGAAGAGAACUUACCCAAAAUUUGGUGAUCACGGCCUUAGCGGUCGUCCCGUACUCCGCGUUGCUCCAAGCCUCGUAGUGGGCCCAGCUCGUGGCCAAAACCCGCUGCUGCGGGUCCCUGUUUGGCCACGGGCAGAAUAGGCCAGGCCAAAACUCCUUCAACAGGACAGUGAUAAGGCCGUUCAGUUUACGGCCCUUUCCGUGAAGGAUCCAGUUUCUGCAAAAGAAUCAAAUGAUUGCCAUGUGUACAAUAAGAAAAUGUUGUCAUGUGUUGAAAAUAUGAUUGCGAGGCACUUACUCUGUUCCCACAGGUUCAAUGAGCCACUUGUGCUCCUCGAUAGAAGGUGGUGUAGGUAGUCCGGCAUUACCAUGCAGCCACCCCUGCGGAGCACCCGGUGGCAAGUCACCCCACAACACGGGAUCAACCUCCCCUCCACCCUCCUCGCCCUCCUCCUCACCCUCCUCCUCGGCCUCCUCCUCAUCACCCUCCUCCUCGGCCUCCUCCUCCUCACCCUCCUCCUCGGCCUCCUCCUCCUCGCCAUCAGGAACAUACUCCUCCUCCUCAGACUCAGAAGGUGCCUCUGUAUAGGAGGGCAUCGAAGAAGACCCUCCUAUUUCGGACACGGCCCGGAGUUUUUUGCCCCGGCUGCCUCUCCCCCCACCUCCUCGUCCUGUAGGGGCUCUCCCCCCACCGCCUCCUCCUCCUCUAGGGGCUCUCCCCCCACCGCCUCCUCCUCUAGGGUCUCCUCCCCCGACCCCUCCACCUCCCUAUGAGGUGUCAUCCUCGCGUAGUCGGGAGGGAACCUUGUGGGCUCGUCCACUCAGAGUAAGUCCUUUAAAUUUACUGAGGAAACUAGCGCCGCUGGACUUGCCCAUGAUUAGCAAACCUGCAUUGAGAAGAGAAUAAACAAUUAGUAAGGAUAUCAAUUAAACAAGCAUACAGGAAAAACAUUAAUACUAGAAGAGCACAUUAAGCAUACUAUUGUAAUGAUCAUUAAAAGAACAUACAUUUUCUAGAACCCAUAUGAAUCAUCACUAUUGUAAUCUAUUUGUGGACCGGUCUCAUCAUCACUAUCACGCAUAUCUUCUUCGUUGUCUGACGAAGGUGGAGGCUCUUCCUCAUCGUCAGCAUCUUCAUUUAACUUUUCAAGCAUAAUUAUGUCUCUUUGAUUCACAACUGCCUCACCAUCAAUCUGUGCGUCGUCGUCGUCGUUUGGGUCCAGGUCAACAUAACCCAAGUCAUCAUCCUCGUUGUUUUGGACCACGUCAUCAUGUUCCUCUUGAUAGAACACUCCCUUGUAUGUCAUGGGGUUUAUGUUGUAGUAAUCAUCAUCGUUCGGGUCCGGUAGCUUACCAUGCGGCAACACCUUGAACACAACUUCCCAACCCUUUAGGUACUCUUUCUGGCAUGGGUAAGGCAGAUACUAUACUUGUGUGGCCUGGGUAGCAGCGAUAAAGAGAUCAGCUCCGGCAUAGACGGAUGAUGGUUUAACUUCAACUAAACCAACAGAAGGCAUAUGUCUUAGACCCUUUUUGGGGUCGAACCAUCGGCAUUUGAACACAGUGAGACUUAGGUGUUCGCGGCCAUGUUUGAAUGUAAGCUCGUAUAUUUUUCCUACCCUUCCGUAGUAAUCUACUUUAUUAUCUCCUUCAGUGAAGACUCCGGUAUUUAUGGUUUUGGGAUCAGGCCGACUGUUCUGGUGCUCCUCUGUAUGGAAGCGAUACCCAUUCACAUCAUAUUUUUCGCAUGUCAUGACGACAGGAUCAAAACCCAUGGAAACCCAUCUCAAUUCUUCAUCCAUUGAUUCGGUCGGAUCAUUUCCCUAGAAGUUUAAUUGAAAUUAUAGGGUGCAUGAGUUUAAUUGAAAUUAUAGGGUGCAUGAGUUUAAUUGAAAGUGUGAAAAAUUACUUUCUCCAUGAACCACGUAACGAAAAUUUUCCUUCCAUCAGCACCCUUUUGGAGAAGAGCAAGUGCCUCCGCUUCAGUAGGAGGCAGCAUUCCCAUCCAUUCUUCUUCAACGAAUCGACUACAAUAAGAAAAGCGGUAUAAGAACUAGGCAAAGUGAACAUAACGAAUUGACUGAAAGAAUGGUGCAAAGGUAUUACCUCAUCCACUCAUCCUCAACUUCCUUGAUGUUGUGCAAGAUAUAGAACAUGACAUCCUCCCACUCAUCUCGUGGCAUGAGAUAAGGUUUCGAGCAUCCAGCCCUACCACCUUGCCCGAUGAAUAGAGGCAACUUAGGUUUAUACUUGGGUUCUUCUGUAUUGUAUCGAGACACCUUAUUGUGCAACGUGGGAACAUGGUCCGAAUAGUAGGCUGUCCUGAGGUCUGCCACCUCCUCUAGGAUAACUGCCUCAGCUAUGGAAGCUUCAAUCUUAGCUUUGUUUCCACAUUUCUGUCUCAGAUGCUUGUUCUGUCUCUCAGGGCCGUACUGCCAACGAUUCUGCACAGGCCCCCCGCAACAAUACCUCAUUCGGGAGGUGCAAAAGGAGAUGUGUCAUCGGAGUAAAGAAGCCUGGCGGGAAGAUCUUCUCUAGCUUGCAUAUCAACUCCGUCGCCUUCUUAUGCAUUUCUUUUAUCUUCUCAGGACAUACUUCUUUAGCACAAAGCGUGCGGAAGAAAUGGCUUAACUCCACAAGCACACGCCAGACACGCUCGGGAACAUAGCCCCGAACCAUCACCGGCAUAAUCCGCUCAAUCCAUACAUGAUAGUCAUGACUCUUGAGCCCGGUCACUCUGCCCGUUGAAAGAUUGACCCCCUUACUUAUAUUCGACGCAUAACCAUCAGUGAACUUCACGACGUGUUUCAACCACUUGAAUGUCUCCAUCUUACGAUCCUUUUUAAGUACAAAGUCAACAUCUGGCUUGAACCAAGAUUUUCGACUGCCUGUGGGAGGCUGCAUGUGUAGACGUGGUCUAUCACAAAUAUUCUGUUGAUCAACUCUAGUAUUAACAUUAUCCUUUGUCUUAACAGGAAUGUUGAGGAUCGUGCGAAAAAGGGACUCUGCGACAUUCUUUUCGGUGUGCAUCACGUCUAUGUUGUAUGGAAGUUUGAGGUCCUUAAAAUAGGGAAGCUGCGUGAAGGGGGUAAUGUGAGUCCAGUUGUGCGUCUCACCAUAUCCUUCAAAAAAAUUCCUUUUACCUUUUCCUUUGCCCUCGCCCUCGUCUUUGCCUGUGGCUUUGCCUUUGCCUUUGCCUUUCCCCUCACCGACAGGCUUAAGAGCUUUCAGCUGAGCAAGCACAUCCACACCAGAAAAUGUUGGAAUCUCGUUUACUUCAUGGACAACUUUGCCUUUUGUGAAGAUCUUCUUGUCUUCCCUAUCAGGAUGGUCUGGAGGGAGGAACUGUCGAUGCAGGUCAAAUGCAACAUACUUGCCACCCUUCUUCAGCCAAAUGAAAAUCAAGGCCUGCAUGCACACUGGGCAAGGCAUCUUUCCACUUGUACACCAUCCGCAGAACAGGGCAUAACCGGGAAAGUCAUGCAUGAAAUAUUGUAGCCAAACUUUCAUCAAGAAAUUUUUCUGCAGAUGUCGGUCUUAUGUCAACCUCGGGAAGUACCAAGAAUGGUGCAAAUCAUCCACCAACGGCUGCAUAAACACACUCAAAUUCUUCCCCGGAUAUUCAGGCCCCGGAAUUAUAAGCGACAGGAACAUGGUCUUGCGUUGCAUUAUGGCGCCGGGAGGGAGAUUCAGCGGAAUAACAAAUAUGGGCCAACAGCUGUAUGGAUUAGACGACAUACCAUAUGGAUUGAACCCAUCACCUGUUAUAGCAAUUCUGACAUUCCCAGCCUCGGCUGCUUCCUCCAGGUACUCUAUAUCGAAUGACUUCCAUGCUUCACCUCCUGAUGGAUGUACAAUUUUUUUUGGAUUGUACCUUUUCCCUUCCUUGUGCCACUUCAUCAUUUUGGCAGACUCCUCGGUGAUGAAAAGGCACUGCAGUCUUUUUAUAAAAUCAAGAUACCGAAGAACCUUCACAGGGAUUUUUAGCUGCUGCUUCUGACCAUGCUUAUCGACCACCUCAAUAUACCGAGAGGAACCGCACUUCCUACAGUACUUGUCAUCCGCAUACUCAUGCCUAAACAAAAGGAAAUUCUUUGGACAAACAUGUAUUUUCUCAUAGUCCAUCGAGAGCGCCUUCAUGAUUUUCUUCGUAGCGUACAUGGUUUUCGGCAGUUCAUGGCCCUCAAGCAGGCUGUUAGCCCAUACUCCCAGAAAUGCUUCGAAGCAACCACGGCUACAGCCGUACUCAGCCUUGACUGCCAUCAGUUGCGAGAUGGCAUCCAGCACAGACAGCUUGGCACCCUCAUAGAGAGGUUUCUUUGACGAGGCCAAGAUUUCCAGGAAGGCCUUUGCGGUUUCCUUCGGCUCCUCCGGUUCAUUCGCUGAAUGUGACGGAGGUGUCAGCUGUGCAGCAAAGACAUCAUCUAGCAUGUCUCUAACCCCAUCAUCCUCAUAACCAGCGACGCGUUGUCGUAUCACAUCCUCUCUACCACGGUCCCGCUGGGCAAAGUUUAUCGGCAUAUUAAAGUUGGGCAUAAAUCCAUGCGUGCGAAGGUGCUUAGUCAUCUCACUCUUAUCUCUGCAGAUACGCCUCUUACAUCUGGCACACGAGCAUUCUGGCACCAUCCUCAUUGGACUACAGAAUAUCUCUUUCAAAAACACAUCAGUUUUCUCGACCCACUCUGUUGUUACUUGAUUCCGACGGAAAAACCCACUAUACAUCCACUGAUUAUCUGCCAUCUCUGCUUUAUUGGAAGCCACACAACAAAAUUAAGGAUUCAUUUAAAUUACCCACAUCAAUAUUUUCUUUUUUACAAGGUUGACGAGAAACGACAUUUAAUACACCUACAUCUCUAAUAGGUAAAGAUGGGUCCUAAUCCCACCCGAGAAUGUGUAGAUUGAGUACGGUCCAUGCUCUACCCCAUUCCGAGACAAAUCGGCAGCACCUCCCCGCUGUUCUCCAAAUACACGUCUCGGCAAAAUGCCGAGAGAAUGUGCAUCCGGAGAACAACAGGGAGGCGCCGCCGAAUUCUUGUCUCGGAACGGGGUAGAGCAUGAACAACGUACCGAAUCUACACAUCCUUGGGCUGUCCGUGGAAAGCGCUGGACAAUCCAAAAGAGCUGCGGGGAUAAAUAUGCAAUUGAAUGCAUAUUUAUCGAUGCAACCCUUUCGGAUGGGAGACCUAGGUUACGCGACUUGAUGUGAAAAUUUAAUCUAGUGACAUGGAAAAAAGUGGACGAGGUCAUGGAAUUGCUGCUCACCCUCCGAUGUAGAGGAUGUAGUCGAUCAAAGGAGGGACGAUCCUGGACCAACACCUCCAAUGUCAACGGUCACUCCACGAAGAUGGGAACACCACAAAUCCUGUUAAUUCCAUCAAGUGAAAAAAUUAGGUCUUCACCUCACAUUAACCAUUUGGCACAACAUUAUGAAUCGACAUGAAACAAAAUGUCAAAUUGCAAAAAAAAUCUUUAUUAAGUAUUUUAGAAACCAAGUGCCUCGAUUUGCUUCUUAUAUAUGAAUCAACAUGACCAUAACACUAACUUGACCAAUAUCCAUCCAUCUAUCACAAAUUUUCCCAACAUCUAAUUCAUCUAUAUUCAGAAACUUAGUAAAAACUAUCUAGUAUGUAUCUAAAUACCUAAUAAAACUACACAAAACUAUCUAGUAUGUAUCUAAAUAUCCAUCCAUCUAUCUAUUCAUCUAGCAUCCAUCUAUAUAUUCAUCUAGCAUCCAUCCAUCUAUCUAGCAUCUAUCUAUUCAUCCAGCCACCAUGAACACAAGCAACGAGAACAACGGAUGCUCACUAGGGCUGGGAGGGGGCACGACAGCGUCUGGCGGUGGAGGGAGGAGCUCACUGGGGCGGGAGUGCUUGUCGAAGUAGGGCCGGCCGAAGCUGCGCCCAGGAGUGCUCGUCGGGGCGGCCCGCGGGCUCCGGGAGGCCGAGCCAGGGGCGAGGAGCCCUGCGGCCGGCGGCGGCACGAGACGGGGUCGGCGCGGGGCGGGUGGACGNNNNNNNNNNNNNNNNNNNNNNNNNNNNNNNNNNNNNNNNNNNNNNNNNNNNNNNNNNNNNNNNNNNNNNNNNNNNNNNNNNNNNNNNNNNNNNNNNNNNNNNNNNNNNNNNNNNNNNNNNNNNNNNNNNNNNNNNNNNNNNNNNNNNNNNNNNNNNNNNNNNNNNNNNNNNNNNNNNNNNNNNNNNNNNNNNNNNNNNNNNNNNNNNNNNNNNNNNNNNNNNNNNNNNNNNNNNNNNNNNNNNNNNNNNNNNNNNNNNNNNNNNNNNNNNNNNNNNNNNNNNNNNNNNNNNNNNNNNNNNNNNNNNNNNNNNNNNNNNNNNNNNNNNNNNNNNNNNNNNNNNNNNNNNNNNNNNNNNNNNNNNNNNNNNNNNNNNNNNNNNNNNNNNNNNNNNNNNNNNNNNNNNNNNNNNNNNNNNNNNNNNNNNNNNNNNNNNNNNNNNNNNNNNNNNNNNNNNNNNNNNNNNNNNNNNNNNNNNNNNNNNNNNNNNNNNNNNNNNNNNNNNNNNNNNNNNNNNNNNNNNNNNNNNNNNNNNNNNNNNNNNNNNNNNNNNNNNNNNNNNNNNNNNNNNNNNNNNNNNNNNNNNNNNNNNNNNNNNNNNNNNNNNNNNNNNNNNNNNNNNNNNNNNNNNNNNNNNNNNNNNNNNNNNNNNNNNNNNNNNNNNNNNNNNNNNNNNNNNNNNNNNNNNNNNNNNNNNNNNNNNNNNNNNNNNNNNNNNNNNNNNNNNNNNNNNNNNNNNNNNNNNNNNNNNNNNNNNNNNNNNNNNNNNNNNNNNNNNNNNNNNNNNNNNNNNNNNNNNNNNNNNNNNNNNNNNNNNNNNNNNNNNNNNNNNNNNNNNNNNNNNNNNNNNNNNNNNNNNNNNNNNNNNNNNNNNNNNNNNNNNNNNNNNNNNNNNNNNNNNNNNNNNNNNNNNNNNNNNNNNNNNNNNNNNNNNNNNNNNNNNNNNNNNNNNNNNNNNNNNNNNNNNNNNNNNNNNNNNNNNNNNNNNNNNNNNNNNNNNNNNNNNNNNNNNNNNNNNNNNNNNNNNNNNNNNNNNNNNNNNNNNNNNNNNNNNNNNNNNNNNNNNNNNNNNNNNNNNNNNNNNNNNNNNNNNNNNNNNNNNNNNNNNNNNUCCCAGAACCACAUAGAGGGGAGGGGAGGGAGGCGCCGAAUUCGAGCAGCUUCGUCCGCCAAGGCCGUGGCCUGGUCGCGGGUAUGGGAGCGCCAUGGCCGCCCUCGAUUGCGUGCUCGAUCUGGAGCUUAGUUCGUCAGGUGAGUGAAGAGGGGGAGGGGGUCGUCGACGGUGAGGGUGGGGGUGGGGGCGGGGGUAGCUUAGUUCGUCAGGUGAGUGAACGGGGAGGGGGUCAUCGACAAAGGGACACCUGGGAGCAACAUCCGGGCCAAACCCACUGCUACAUAUCCACACCGUGUAGACCCGACACGUCCGUUUCCCCCCUCCCGGUGCCGGCGGCGGCGCCGUCUGUUAGGGGGGCCACACCCCGAAGAUGCGUGCCGCCUCUUCGGACAUGCCACAACACCACCCUGCUUGUAUGAGGGCCCGGUACGACACUCCGGUGGCAUUGCUACCCCCUAAGGACCCCGUCCCGCCUAACCCUGGAGCGAUUGACCACGAGAUCUAGCCCUUUGACUUCCUACGGACGGGCUUUGACUAGUGGACCUCUCCACCCGAUUGUGUCAGGUCAGCCCAGAGGGACACCUGGGAGCNNNNNNNNNNGGUGCCGGCGGCGGCGCCGUCCGUGAGGGGGGGCACACCCCGGACACGUGUGCCGCCUCUUCGGACAUUCCACCACACCACCCCACAUGUAUGAGGGCCCGGUGCGACGCUCUGGUGGCAUUGCUACCCCCCAGGGCCCCCGUCCCGCCUAACCCUGUAGCAUUUGACAACGGGAUCUAGCCCUUUGAAUUUGCAUGGACGGGCUUUGACCAGCGGACCUCCCCACCCGGUUGUGUUCGGUCAGCCCAUAUGUACACAUUGGAGCAACAUCCGGGCCAGACCCACAACAAGAUCCCCUCCGUGUAGACCCGAUGCGUCUGUUUCCCCCCUCCAGGUGCCGGCGGCGGCGCCGUCCGUGAGGGGGGCACACCCCGGACACGCGUGCCGGGCAUUUGCAACCACCACAACACUUCCAAACGUGUGAGAGGCCGCCUACGCAAGAUUUGGCGGCAUGCUAGCCCCCCGGAGGCCGCUGGCCACAGCCGUAGACGCGCGAAGGGCAAUCCGCGUAGAGGGAAUUUUUCGGAUACUUCUCCAUCACCAAAAAUUAUGAAAAAAAUAUUAUCGUUCCUAUAGCACAUGUGCCCACGUCGUGCAAAAAAACUCAUGAUUUUAUCGCGCUCCGAGUAUUUAAUAAUAUUCACGCCGCAUCGUUACCGCAGAAUGGCUACUACCAUGUCAUCGCCGUCCGUUAGGGGGGGUCAUGCCCCGGAGAUGCGUGCCGCCUCUUUGGACAUGCCACCACACCACCCCGCAUGUAUGAGUGCCCGGUGCGACGCUCUGGUGGCAUUGCUACCCCCCAGGGCCCCAGUCCCGCCUAACCCUGUAGCGUUUGACCACGGGAUCUAGCCCUUUGACUUUGCACGGACGGGAUUUGACCAGUGGACCUCUCCACCCGGUUGUGUUAGGUCAGCCCAUAGGAACACUUUUGAGCAACAUCCGGGCCAGACCCACAGCAAGAUCCCCUCCGUGUAGACCCGACGCGUCCGUUUCCCCAUUCCAGGUGCCGGCGGCGGCGCCGUCCGUGAGAGGGGCACACCCCGGAGACGUGUGCCGCCUCUUCGGACAUGCCAGCACACCACCCCGCAUGUAUGAGGGCCCGGUGCGACGCUCCGGUGGUAUUGCUGCCCCCAGGGCCCUCGUCCCGCUUAGCCCUGUAGCGUUUGACCACGGGAUCUAGCCCUUUGACUUUACACGGACGGGCUUUGACCAGUGGUACUCCCCACCCGGUUGUGUUAGGUCAGCCCAUAGGAACACUUUGGAGCAACAUCCGGGCCAGACCCACAACAAGAUCCCCUCCGUGUAGACCUGACGCGUCCGUUUCCCCCCUCCAGGUGCCGGCGGCGGCGCCGUCCGUGAGGGGGGCACACCUCGGACACACGUGCCGGGCGUUUGCAACCACCACAACACUUCCAAACUUGUGAGAGGCCGCCUACGCAAGAUUUGGCGGCAUGCUAGCCCCCGGAGGCCGCCGGCUACAGCCGUAGACGCGUGAAGGGCAAUCCGCGUAGAGGAAAUAUUUCGGAUACUUCUCCAUCACCAAAAAUUAUGAAAAAAAUAUUAUCGUUCCUAUAGCACAUGUGCCCACGUCGUGCAAAAAAACUCAUGAUUUUAUCGUGCUCCGAGUAUUUAAUAAUAUUCACGCCGCAUCGUUACCACAGAAUGGCUACUACCGUGUCAUCGUCGUCCGUUAGGGGGUCCACGCCUCGGAGAUGCGUGCCGCCUCUUCGGACAUGCCACCACACCACCCCGCAUGUAUGAGGGACCGGUGCGACUCUCCAGUGGCAUUGCUACCCCCUGGGCCCCCGUCCCGCCUAACCCUGUAGCGUUUAACUGUGGGAUCUAUCCCUUUGAGUUUGCACGGACGGGAUUUGACCAGUGGACCUCUCCACCCGAUUGUGUUAGGUCAGCCCAUAGGAACACUUUGGAGCAACAUCCGGGCCAGACCCACAGCAAGAUCCCCUCCGUGUAGACCCGACGCGUCCGUUUCCCCACUUCAGGUGUCGGCGGCGGCGCCGUCCGUGAGGGGGGCCAAACCCCAGAGACGCGUGCCGGGCAUUUGCAACCACCACAACACUUCCAAACUUGUGAGAGGCCGCCUACGCAAGAUUUGGCGGCAUGCUAGCCCCCGGAGGCCGCCGGCCACAGCCGUAGACGCGCGAAGGGCAAUCCGCGUAAAGGGAAUUUUUCGGAUACUUCUCCAUCACCAAACAUUAUGAAAAAAAUAUUAUCAUUCCUAUAGCACAUGUGCCCACGUCGUGCAAAAAAACUCAUGAUUUUAUCAUGCUCCAAGUAUUUAAUAAUAUUCACGCCGCAUCGUUACCGCAGAAUGGCUACUACCGUGUCAUCGCCGUCCGUUAUGGGGGGCCACACCCUGGAGACACGUGCCGCCUAUUCGGACAUGCCACCACACCACCCUGCAUGUAUGAGGGCCCGGUGCGACGCUCCGGUGGCAUUGCUACCCCUAGGGCCCCCGUCCCACCUAACCCUGUAGCGUUUGACCACGGGAUCUAUCCCUUUGACUUUGCACGGACGGAUUUGACCAGUGGACCUCUCCACCCGGUUGUGUUAGGUCAGCCCAUAGGAACACUUUGGAGCAACAUCCGGGCCAGACCCACAGCAAGGUCCCCUCCGUGUAGACCCGACGCGUCCGUUUCCCCCCUCCAGGUGCCGGCGGCGGCGCCGUCCGUGAGGGGGGCCAAACCCCGGAGACGCGUGCCGGGCGUUUGCAACCACCACAACACUUCCAAACUUGUGAGAGGCCGCCUACGCAAGAUUUGGCGGCAUGGUAGCCCCCGGAGGCCGCCGGCCACAGCCGUAGACGCGCGAAGGGCAAUCCGCGUAGAGGGAAUUUUUCGGAUAAUUCUCCAUCACCAAAAAUUAUGAAAAAAUAUUAUCGUUCCUAUAGCACAUGUGCCCACGUCGUGCAAAAAAACUCAUGAUUUUAUCGUGCUCCGGGUAUUUAAUAAUAUUCACGCCGCAUCGUUACCACAGAAUGGCUACUACCGUGUCAUCGCCGUCCGUUAGGGGGAGCCACGCCCCGGAGACGCGUGUCGCCUCUUCGGACAUGCCACCACACCACACCGCAUGUAUGAGGGCCCGGUGCGACGCUCCGGUGGCAUUGCUACCCCCAGGGCCCCCGUCCCGCCUAACCCUGUAGCGUUUGACCACGGGAUCUAUCCCUUUGACUUUGCACGGACGGGAUUUGACCAGUGGACCUCUCCACCCGGUUGUGUUAGGUCAGCCCAUAGGAACACUUUGGAGCAACAUCCGGGCCAGACCACAGCAAGAUCCCCUCCAUGUAGACCCGACGCGUCCGUUUCCCCCCUCCAGGUGCCGGCGGUGGCGCCGUCCGUGAGGAGGGCCAAACCCCGGAGACGCGUGCCGGGCGUUUGCAACCACCACAACACUUCCAAACUUGUGAGAGGCCGCCUACGCAAGAUUUGGCGGCAUGCUAGCUCCCGGAGGCCGCCGGCCACAGCCGUAGACGCGCGAAGGGCAAUUCGCGUAGAAGGAAUUUUUCGGAUACUUCUCCAUCACCAAAAAUUAUGAAAAAAAUAUUAUUGUUCCUAUAGCACAUGUGCCCACGUCGUGCAAAAAAACUCAUGAUUUUAUCGUGCUCCGAGUAUUUAAUAAUAUUCACGCCGCAUCGUUACCGCAGAAUGGCUACUACCGUGUCAUCGCCAUCCGUUAGGAGGGGCCACGCCCCGAAGACGCGUGCCACCUCUUCGGACAUGCCACCACACCACCCCGCAUGUAUGAGGGCCCGGUGUGACGCUCCGGUGGCAUUGCUACCCCCAGGGCCCCCGUCCCGCCUAACCCUGUAGCGUUUGACCACGGGAUCUAUCCCUUUGACUUUGCACGGACGGGAUUUGACCAGUGGACCUCUCCACCCGGUUGUGUUAGGUCAGCCCAUAGGAACACUUUGGAGCAACAUCCGGGCCAGACCCACAGCAAGAUCCCCUCUGUGUAGACCCGACACGUCCGUUUGCCCCCUCCUGGUGUCGGCGGCGGCGCCGUCCGUGAGGGUGGCCAAACCCCGGAGACGCGUGCCGGGCGUUUGCAACCACCACAACACUUCCAAACUUGUGAGAGGCCGCCUACGCAAGAUUUGGCGGCAUUCUAGCCCCCGGAGGCCGCCGGCCAUAGCUGUAGACGUGCGAAGGGCAAUCCGCGUAGAGGAAAUUUUUUGGAUACUUCUCCAUCACCAAAAAUUAUGAAAAAAAAUAUUAUCAUUCUUAUAGCACAUGUGCCCACGUCGUGCAAAAAGACUCAUGAUUUUAUCGUGCUCCGAGUAUUUAAUAAUAUUCACGCUGCAUCGUUACCGCAGAAUGGCUACUACCGUGUCAUCACCGUCCGUUAGGGGGGGCACGCCCCGGAGAUGCGUGCCGCCUCUUCGGACAUGCCACCACACCACCCCGCAUGUAUGAGGGCCCGGUGCGACGCUCCGGUGGCAUUGCUACCCCCAGGGCCCCCGUCCCGCCUAACCCUGUAGCGUUUGACCACAGGAUCUAUCCCUUUGACUUUGCACGGACAGGAUUUGACCAGUGGACCUCUCCACCCGGUUUUGUUAGGUCAGCCCAUAGGAACACUUUGGAGCAACAUCCGGGCCAGACCCACAGCAAGAUCCCCUCCGUGUAGACCCGACGCGUCCGUUUCCCCCCUCCAGGUGCCGGCGGUGGCGCCGUCCGUGAGGGGGGCCAAACCCUGGAGACGCGUGCCGGGCGUUUGCAACCACCACAACACUUCCAAACUUGUGAGAGGCCGCCUACGCAAGAUUUGGCGGCAUGCUAGCCCCCGGAGGCCGCCGGCUACAGCCGUAGACGCGUGAAGGGCAAUCCACGUAGAGGGAAUUUUUCGGAUACUUCUCCAUCACCAAAAAUUGUGAAAAAAAUAUUAUCGUUCCUAUAGCACAUGUGCCCACGUCGUGCAAAAAAACUCAUGAUUUUAUCGUGCUCCGAGUAUUUAAUAAUAUUCACGCCGCAUCGUUACCGCAGAAUGGCUACUACCGUGUCAUCGCCGUCCGUUAGGGGGGGCCACGCCCUGGAGACGCGUGCUGCCUCUUCGGACAUGCCACCACACCACCCCGCAUGUAUGAGGGCCCGGUGCGAUGCUCCGGUGGCAUUGCUACCCCAGGGCCCCCGUCCCGCCUAACCCUGUAGUGUUUGACCACGGGAUCUAUCCCUUUGACUUUGCACGGACGGGAUUUGACCAUUGGACCUCUCCAUCCGGUUGUGUUAGGUCAGCCCAUAGGAACACUUUGGAGCAACAUCCGGGCCAGACCCACAGCAAGAUCCCCUCCGUGUAGACCCGACGCGUCCGUUUCCCCCCUCCAGGUGCCGGCGGUGGCACCGUCCGUGAGGGGGGCCAAACCCCGGAGACGCGUGCCGCCUCUUCGGACNNNNNNNNNNNNNNNNNNNNNNNNNNNNNNNNNNNNNNNNNNNNNNNNNNNNNNNNNNNNNNNNNNNNNNNNNNNNNNNNNNNNNNNNNNNNNNNNNNNNNNNNNNNNNNNNNNNNNNNNNNNNNNNNNNNNNNNNNNNNNNNNNNNNNNNNNNNNNNNNNNNNNNNNNNNNNNNNNNNNNNNNNNNNNNNNNNNNNNNNNNNNNNNNNNNNNNNNNNNNNNNNNNNNNNNNNNNNNNNNNNNNNNNNNNNNNNNNNNNNNNNNNNNNNNNNNNNNNNNNNNNNNNNNNNNNNNNNNNNNNNNNNNNNNNNNNNNNNNNNNNNNNNNNNNNNNNNNNNNNNNNNNNNNNNNNNNNNNNNNNNNNNNNNNNNNNNNNNNNNNNNNNNNNNNNNNUCCACGUGCCGGCGGUGGCGCCGUCCGUUAGGGGGGCCACGCCCCUGAGAUGCGUGUCACCUCUUUGAACAUGCAACAACACCGCCUUGCAUGUAUGAGGGUCCGGUACGAUGCUCCGGUGGCUGUGCUACCCCCCAGGGUCCCCAUCCCGCCUAACCGUGGAGCGGUUGACCACGAGAUCUAGCCUUUUGACUUCCCACGGACGGGCUUUGACCAGUGGACCUCUGCACCCGGUUGUGUCAGGUCGGCCCGUAGGUACACCUGGGAGCAACAUCCGGGCCAAACCCACAGCUACAUCCACCGUGUAGACCGACGCGUCCGUUUCCCCCCUCCAGGUGCCGGUGUCGUCCAUGAGGGGGGCACACGCGGACGUGAGGGGGGUCACACUCUGGAGACGGGUGUCGGGCGUUUGCAACCGCCACAAAACUUUUGUCGGCAUAGCUAUUUUUGAUUUUAAUAAAAUAUAAUGAUCUAUAUUCAAAAGAACAUGGCCACACAUUAUUAACGUGCUCGAAAAAAUACAAACUAUAUAUAUAUAUUCAUAAUAUAUGAAAAAAAUACAAACUACAUAUAUAUUCAUAUGUAUGUUUAUAUUUAACAUGCUACAUGUUAGUUGAUAUAAUAAUACAAAAAAAAGCUUAAAAAAUAUAUAUGAAAAAAAGUCUACCUAUGCCGACGGCUAUGAGCCGUCGGCAUAGAGACGGCCAUGUUUUAGGCGGUGGGCGGCGUGCCGCGGAUCGCUGACGUGGAAGGUAUGCCGACGGCAGCCGUCACCAUAUGUCUUGGACGGUGCGGCCCGGAUCGGUGACAUGGCGUGCGGACCUAUGCCGACGGCCCCCCGCCUCGGUCGUCGGCAUAGCUCUGACGACGUUAGCCGCCCGUCAACAGCGGGGUCGCCGGGCCCACCACUAUGCCGACAGCCCUUGUAAGCCGACGACAGCUGUCGGCGUACUUGCAGAUAGGCCGGCGGCCGUUCUAUGCCGACGGGUGCCGUCGGCUUAGCCCCGUCUAACCCGACGACCUGGAUACGCCGACGGCCAGGACCAGGCUGUCGGCAUAUCUCCGAGGAACCCGACGGUGGUCGUCGGCAUUGUUUUGGCCGUCGGGGUAGCACCCUGUUUCGGUAGUGGUUCCCCGCCGUCCCCCGAACGCCCCCGGCGGCGGCCGGUCACAUCCGCGAGAUGGCGCUCAUCCCGGCCACCUCGCCCCGUCCUUCUCCGUCCCCAAUUUGAACAACCGGCAUCUGAUUCCGGCGGGUGGCCGCCGAUUCUGGUGGGCAACUGAUGAUUCUGGUGAGCUAUGCGGUGGAAUUGCGGCAGCGCAUCCUUCCCGACGAGGUUUGACCGGUAUAAGGGUCGCCCUUAGUUUGGCCUUCGAACCUUCAAAUAUAUGGGUUUUGGGUGUGGGUUUACGGUGCCUCUUAAAAUAUUUAAGGGUCGGACCACUUGUACGGUUUCUGUUCUGCAACUUUUUUUCGGCCAAACCCUUAAAAUCUGAAAAUUAUAAGGGUUUGACCGGUUUUACGGGGUCUGCUAGAGAUGCUCUGACAAGGGUGACGCCGCGGAGAGGAACUGAGUAGGCGCAUCCUGCCGACCGGCGAUGCGGGACAAUAGUCACAACUAGUAGUAUAUCGAAGGAAUCGGAAGUAGCAGAUCGAACCGGAUUUUUAUGAAAUAAUCUGAUACAUCGAAUUCAAUAGGUACAAGACUUCUUCGGCAGUUUGUGUAGCCACAGUCCUCAUCACUUACAAAUUACAACACAAAGGCACAACAAAUUGCCCCGUGGUUGGAUGGAAGUCUGAAAACCAAGAAUCAGGAGCAAAUCAUAACUCUUAUUCAAAACCUUGUAGUCUAUUCCAACUUAUGCAUGUUUGGUCAUACAAUUUCUUUGCCAGAAGCAUGGAGGAGGAACGUCGACAUGCAAAAAGUAGAGCUAGAGCUCAUCUUGGAAAGAUGUGGCGCAUCUGAGGGACCCCGCCUUGAGGCGAGCAUUCUCCUUAUUGAGCUCCUCCUGCUAGUUGAUGUAGUGUUUGGUGAUGCAGUUGGGGUUGAGGCAGAUGAAGUUCUUGAGCACCUCCCGCACGACCAUGUUCUCGGACAGGAUCCUCGUGUUCUCCUCGCGGAGGAAGAGGUUCUCCGCCCUGCAAGACCUGCGACACUAGGAUGUUAAGUUAAAUGAGAAGGAAAAAAAGUGUGGGCAGAGAGCGGCUAGUGUUUGGAAGGAGACCCAGGUAUCAGUCCAAAAGAAAGUGGUGAGGCCAUUAUUCGUGACGACGAUUGAGAUUUUUUGAAGGGUGGGGAGUUGUGAGUUUAUAAUUUUCCAGAGGAACGAAUGGUUAUGUUUGUCAGCAAUAGCAUGUGUAUAUAGCCACUAUGGUACUAAUUUAGAGCAAACUUCAUUAGUACAUAAUUAUUCAGUAAGCAAAGUUCUUCAAAUCUGGACCACCAUAUUUUUUGGUUUGCAAACAUUUUUUCAAGCAAUAACACAUUGAGUCUCUGUAUAAGUUUCCAAUGCAGUAAAAAAAGGCUUGACGAAUUGCAUCAAGUUCUUUCAAAAAAACAGUUGGAAAUGCGAAAACAGACAUGAAAUAGACAACAAGAGUCAAAUACAGAAGAAAGAAAGGUCAACCUAGCACCCCGAGAGCCGAGAAAGUAGACAGGAAAUCGAGCCGCUGAGGUAUUUGAGAGAGCAUUGGACGAUCGGUUGGAAGGCUGAAUAGGGGAGCUUGGUGGGGGAAAGAAGUAGGCCUAGAUAGGGCUGGGGGGAGGUAGAAACGGCGCAUCCGCAGCGAUGGAGGGCUGGACGUGGAUGGGUAGCUAGGAAGGUAGUCUUGUGAAGAUUCAGCAAGAGGACAGUAGCGUUGGCAAACAUAUCCAGGAUUUUUUUGAGUUGCGUGGCAGUAUGCAUUGUCAGAUCGAUAUGCUACAAUCCAUCUUAUGCUUAAAUUUUGACGAGAAGGGCCCAGAAAGCUGCGAUCAAUUUAGGAAAACCUAUCAAUCUUAGGCUGUUAAACAAAUAACCUGUUCCUUGGAUUUGGCGUGUUAGAUACUUAGAUCUCUCUCCACUUUAUCUGAUGUAGACCAUGUGGUGAUGAGCUUCUCACGGUCUCACAUCUAACAGGGUUGACGCUGCGGAGAGGAACCAAGCAGCCGCGUCCUGCCGGUCGACGAGCGGGACAAUAGUUACAAUUCACAAGUCACAACACACAACACAAGGAACGACGCGAUCUACUAGUAUUAUCGAAGGAAACCAUAUUUCUUACAGAAGUAGCAGAACCGGCUCUUCAUGAAAUAUAAUCUCAUACAUCGAAUUGAGUAGGUAGAUCUCCUUUGUUCUGACUUCUCCCAGGAGUAAUGUUGGAGCUUCCUAUGGUGGCUCCAACUAAUAAAUGAGUACGAACUAGAGUACAAGACUUCUGCGCGCGGCAGUUUGUGUAGGCACAGUCCUCAGUCACAACACAAAGGCACAACAAAUUGCCCACGACUCGAUGAAGAUCUGACAACUAAGAAUUAUUCAGGACCAAAUCAUGUCUCUUAUUCGAAACCUUGUACUAGUUU